UCAUCUGUUACAUGUGCUAUUUUAAAGAAGAUCAUGGAAUGGCAAAAGCUUGGAUGUGGCUAUCUUUAUUUGAUGCCUAUGCUCUUCAAUAUAAUAUAAUUGUGCAUUUGUGUGUUGCUUGAUUGUAAAAGUCUAAGGGAAUUCUGGGUUUCUAUUGAUAUUCUUGUCUAUGGGAUAGCUACCCAUUUGGUCAGAUCUUUUCAACUCUCAACUUUUAAUUUUGUGCAUAGGAUUAGUCUCUUCAUCUUCUCCCCAAUUCUUUAAUUUCAAAAUCUCUCCCUCCCUUUUCAAAAUCUUCUUUGAUUGAACUUAUUUUGUUCUAAACUUUGACCACUUUGCAAAAAAGAUAGAAACUUUGGCCUUAUGCCAUUGCAUUCUCAAACUUCUUUUCUUAAAUCAAACUUGUAAAUAAACUUAACCAUACUUGACUUUAACUUUCAAAAAAGCCAAAAAGAACUACCUCAUUCAAACCAUUUUUAGGCCUUUGUGCCUUUCAAACUUAAUUUCUAUUAAAAUCAAUGCAUCCACUUUAAAAUUUGUAUCACGAACUACGAGGUUUUGAUCCCUCAUUUUUAUGUUGGUACGUAGGCAUAAGACCGAAGGUCUUGCCAAACACAAAAAUAUAUUUAAUGAAUUCUUUUCUCAUCCCCCAUUCUAUUUUGUUUGUAAACAUCAUUUUAUACAAAAUACAUAUGCACACAAAAAGGGCUCUCUAGGAGUACCUAGGACACUUUGGGUGUUAACACCUUCCCUGUGUAACCAACCCCCUUACCUGUAAUCUCUGACAUUUUAUUAGUUUUAAUUUGAAAACUUUUUACUUUUGGGUUUUGUUCGUACAUUUUCCCUUUUCCCUUGGAAACAAUAACAGCGCGGUGGCGACUUUUGUUAUUUGAUCUCUAGCUUAUCCAUAGCUUGAUGAUCAUGAAAUUACCGCUACAAAAUGAUCGUGAAACAAAUAGGUCAACUUUUAACUAAUAAAAUUAAUUAAUUAAAAUUCAAUUAAGCCAUCUAAUUAAGGUAAUUAAAAUUAAUUAUCAAAAUUAUUCAAUUAAAAAUUAAUGUAAUCAAAUAAUUAAGUUAAUUAAAAUUAGUUAACGAAAUUAUCUAAUUAAUCAAGACUUUAAUUAAUUAAUCAAUUUAGAAAAAGAAAUAAGUGACAAUAUUGAAUAUUAAAUAAUCGAAUCGAAUCAGCCACUAUAUGCUCAUAAACCGGUCUGUAAAAUGCCACAAUGGAACUGGAAUGACAUCUGUGAAGAUCAAAACGCGGUGAAAUGCCACAUUUGAUUUGUUGGAUCCGCGAAUUAAAAUUCCAUUUUAAGCGCAAUGAAGACCCAAUAGCAACCCAAUCAAUAUAUGACAUGUAACACUAAUAUUAACAAUGAUUAUAAAAUAAUACCAAACUUUUGCUUUCUCUUAUUCAUGUGAAGUUCAUAUACAUGACAAUAACAUUUCCUCAACUUCACGCUCUUGAAUUAACAAAUUGAUUAAUUAUUCAUCACCAAUUUCCACACUUCAAAUAAUAAUCUAAAACCGAACUCUGACUUUUCAUAUUAAGGCAUAUAUCAUGUUUUGAGAAAAGACAAUGUACUUAUUAACAAAAGAAAAGAAUUAGAAAAAAAAGAUUGUCAAUACAAUGAACACAAUGUAUUAGAGUGGAAUAACCAAGGCUAUGAAUACAAUGCCUCGUUACGAGCCUCCCUGGAAUAAUAAUAUCAUCAUCACCUAACCAAUGUUCAAAUUAAAACACCAAAGACUAUGAAGGAUUCAGUGCGUCUUAAAGUCACAACAACAAGCAUAAUCCCACAACAGUAUACAUCCCCUUUAUAAAUUUAUAUUAAACUUAGAUUUUAAUAUUAUUGAAAGAACUAAAUCCAAACUUAAAUGUAUAAGUUAAACAUAAACAAUUAGCCAAAAGGAAACAGUGGAGCGUUACCUAAACAACUAUAUGGUCGGAGAUCGUGGGCGGAGAUUUGGGCUGUCGCUCAGAAAUCGCGGUUGUUGGCGACGAUUUAGGGAUAUCGACGGUGAGUGGUUGUUGUUGGAGGAAGGGGGCGUCGCCGACGAUUAAGAAGGUUUGAUGUGAGAGUAGGUGUGAAAAGGAGGAAACGGCGGUUUCACGGUGGGUUUCGCGAUGGUGGUGUAGUGGAUGUCAUUCGUCGGAAAGGAGAAGAGGAGUUGUUGUGACGGCUGGUCCAGGCGGUGGAUUUAUUGGAGAUUUAGAUGGAGCUUCCGGUGAGGGAGGGGUCGCGGAUGGAGGUCGAAGGUAGUUUCCGACGGUGGUGGUUGGAGUUUGGGAUUUCGCGGCGACGAGAUGAAGAGUGAAUGGGUUAUGCGUUGUUGUUAGGUUGGAACGCGGACGGAGGUUUGCCGGCGGUGAGCGGAUCUGUGUUGAUUCCGACGGAAGGAAGGCGGUUGUUUGGCGCUGUGGAGAAGAAUAGGGAACAAUUUCUUUCUCUUUUUAUUUUCCUCCCCUUUCUUCAUGUUCAGAGGGAGAGAUUAUCAUUUUGGAGAGUGAGAGGACUGGUUUUCUUGUGGUCCUCUCUCUUAUUUUCUUUAUCGUUUUCUUUUUUCUAUUUUCUUGAUUUUUUGCUAAGAGAGAGUGAUUAUUGAGGAGUCAGGUCAGUCCCCUAGAGAGAGAAGAGAGGUCGCCUUUUAUUUUGUGGAUUCCCUUUUUUUUUUAUCGUUUUCCUUUCUUUUAGCGGACCGUUGGAGACCCUUAGUGGAGAUAGAUGCGUGCUAGCUGUCACCUUUUUCCAGCGAGCGAGAGAGAGGAUUUGGAAGAAACUUUUUAUUUUAUUUAUUUUCAGAUUUUUUUAAUAAUAAUAUUAAUUAAAUCUCAAAUUUUGAUUGGAUAAAGGGGAUAAGUGUGAAUUGCUAAUUAGGAGCAUUGAUUAAUUUGAAUCGAUGAUUCAGAUUAAAUCAAAGAAGCACAAACAAUUUAAAAUGGCAAAGUUCCCCUUCUAGAUGAUUUAAAUGGAAUUAAAUCAAUGAAUUCAAAUAAAAUUCACAACUUUUCACAUAAUCAUGAUAAAAUUAAAAUAAGAGCAUGGAAAAUUCUAUUUAUUUAAUCUGGAAAUUUUGGCGAAAGAAUAAAAUUAAAACGAAUAAAAAUAAAUAAAAGUCGGGCGAAAAUUAUCUUGAAAAAUUAAAUCGGAUGCACUAAAAUGAUCAGCACGAAAUAUACUUAUUAAAAAAAUACAGUGUUUCUUUAAAUUCUAAAAUAAAUUUUCACCGGUUAAAAGGCUCAAACAGAUUAAAAUGCAACUGAAAAAGUCGUCGAAAAAUAUAACGAGCACACCAGGCUGAACCACGUGAACUGUAGAUUAAUAAUACUGGCGUGUGUAAGUUUGAUUUCGAAACUUUUUACCCGCUGAUUUUGCACGUACUUGAGGAAUGAUUUAACCAAUUUGACUGUAUAUUCGAGAAUUCAUUUCGAUUGAUAUUUUAGGUAUUAUUCAUGAUGAAGUGCAUUUUAUGCUGUACAUAUGAUGCAAACUGAAAUUAAAAUCGAAUUUAUAAAAGUUUUAAAAUGCCCGGACAAAAUUGGGGUACGAAAAGACUCGAAUUUUGUCCUUUGGAAACACAAGGAAGAAAUGCAGAAAGAAAAUGCAGUGAGAAAUACAGUAAGAAAUGUUUUUAGGAGGUAAAAUGAAACAAUCAAGACUCUCUGGGAAUCGUCAUAACAAUAUCUCGGAUGUCACAAUCGAGAUUUUCCAACAAUGGAAUGAUACCUCAACUGUACCUAAGACUUUCUGAGCAUUAGCAGAACAACGUCUUGAUUUGAAUGCAUGAGAUUCUCUGAGUAUCAAUGAAGCAAUAUCCCAUAUGAUAUAAUCAAGAUAUUCCGACAAGGGAAUGAUACCUCAAUCGUAUUUAAGAUUCUCCGAGGACACCUAGAUCAGUAUCUCUAAAAGUUGAAUGAGACUCUUCAUAUCGAUGAAGUAGUAUCUUAAACAGAUAAAUGAGAUUCUCUAUAUCACACUGAAGCAACAUCUUAUAUGAUAGAAUUACGAUAUUCCAACAUGGGGAAUGAUACCUUAAUUGAAUCUAAGACUUUUCAAGGAUACUAGAGAAGUAUCUCAAAAAACAAGUGAGAUUCUUCAUAUUGAUGAAGCAGUAUCUCAAAUAUUCGUCUGUUGGGGGAAAUAUCUUAGAAAAGACUCUUUUUGGAGGAGAUUUACUGGAAAAGCUCUGUAGGGGGAAAGCUCAUAAGAGACUUUUUAUGGUAACCUCUGCUUGGAGAGGAAUGAUAGCAAAGAAAAUGUUUGGAAUAUCAUUAUUAAUCAUAAAGUUGAAAAAUGAUUUGCUGAGAAAUAAUUCCACGAGCACAUGCAGGGUAAUAACUUUAUUUAGAAAUAAGGAAAGUUGGGGAUGCAUAUGAAUGACCCUGGAUCCUGAUAUUUUGGUGUGAUUUUUGUAUGAUAUUCCACUUUAGGUGGAAAUACCAUGCAUGGGAUGAUGCAUGAUAUACAUUCAGGGAUGCAAUUGCUGGGGAUAUUUAGGAUGUGCAUGGGAAUGUAACUGAUUUUUGAUUUUAUAUAAGGUUAUGCAUAAGUAUGCUGAUGAUUGGUGGUAUCAUGUUUGAUGAAUUUUUCAGUUUGGUAGGAAAAUAAUUUAUGAAUGAUUCAUGUGAUGCAUGUGGGAAUACAAAUGGGUAACUGUAUAUUUUUGUAGGGCUUUAUUUUUUCAAUGAGAUUGUUGGAGAAUAUCAUCAUCAAAGGGUUGAUGGAAAGGUAAUUGUCAUCGUCAAAGAGUUGACGGAAAGGUAAAUGGCAUCAUUAGAGGGCUGAUGGUAAUUAAUUUGUUGUAAAAUGUCAUCAUCAGAGGGCUGAUGGAAAAGAAUUUGUCAUCGUCAAAGGGUUGACAAAAAGAAAUAAAGGAUGUCAUCACCAAAGGGUUGGUGGAAUAAAAAUUUGUCAUCGUCAAAGGGUUGACGGAAAGGAACUUUGUCAUCGUCAAAGGGUUGACAAGAAGAAACUUCACUAUGGAGUGGCAUCAUCAAAGGUUUGAUGGAAAUUUUUUAUCAUCAUCAAAGGCUUGACGGAAAGAAAUAAACGAUGGCAUCACCAAAGGGUUGGUGGAAAAGGAAUCAUAUAUGUAGUAUCAUUGUCAAAGGGUUGACGGAGGGAAACUUCACUAUGGAGUGGCAUCACCAAAGGGUUGGUGGAAAAGACUGUCAUCAUCAGAGGGCAGAUGGAAAAGAGUUUGUCAUCGUCAAAGGGUUGACGAAAAUAAACUUCACUAAGGAGUGGCAUCAUCAAAGGGUUAAUGGAAAAGGAGACCUCACUAUGGAGUGGCAUCACCAAAGGGUUGGUGGAAAAGGACGAUCAUCAUCAGGGGGCUGAUGGAGAAGAGACCUCACUAUGGAGUGGCAUCACCAAAGGGUUAGUGGAAAGGAUGAUUAUCAUCAAAGGGAUGAUGGAGAAGAGACCUCACUAUGGAGUGGCAUCACCAAAGAGUUGGUGGAAAGGAUGAUCAUCAUCAGAAGGCUGAUGGAAAAGAGUUUGUCAUUGUCAAAGGGUUGACGGAAAGAAACUUUACUAGGGAGUGGCAUCAUCAAAGGGUUGAUGGAAAAGGAGACCUCACUAGGGAGUGGCAUCACCAAAGGAUUGGUGGAAAAGGAUGAUCAUCAUCAGGGGGCUGAUGGAGAAGAGACCUCACUAUGGAGUGGCAUCACCAAAGGGUUGGUGGAAAGGAUGAUCAUCAUCAGAGGGCUAAUGGAGAAGAGACCUCACUACGGAGUGGAAUCACCAAAGGUUUGGUAGAAAGGAUGAUCAUCAUCAGAGGGCUGAUGGAAAAGAAAUUGUCAUCGUCAAAGGGUUGACGGGAAGAAUCUUCACUGUGGAGUGGCAUCAUCAAAGGGUUGAUGGAAAGAAUUUAUCAUCAUCAAAGGGUUGACGAAAAGAAACUUCACUAGGGAGUGGCAUCAUCAAAGGGUUGAUGGAAAAGGAUGAUCAUCAUCAGAGGGCUGAUGGAAAAGAGACCUGACUAUGGAGUGGCAUCAUCAAAGGGUUGAUGGAAAAAAUUAAAAGACGUCAUCACCAAAGGGUUGGUGGAAAAGAAAUGGUCAUCAUCAAAGGAUUGACAGAAAUAAUUAAGGGAUAUCAUCACCAAAGGGUUGGUGGAAAAGAAAAUUUGUCAUCGUCAAAGGGUAGACGGAAAGGAACUUCACUAUGGAGUGGCAUCACCAAAAGGUUGGUGGAAGGAAAUUCGUUGUAAAAGGUCUUCAUCAGAGGGCUGAUGGAAAAAAGAGAUCAGGUUAUGUCCUCAUCAAGGGGUUAAUGGGAAGGAAUUAUUAUGUUAUGUAUGCAUAUGAUGCAUGUUAAUGGAAAUUUCUUGUUUUUGUGAGAGAGCUUUUGCUAUGCAACUUCCUGAUUUGGCAGGAGAGUCAUGUGUGUUCAUUGUAUGCAGUGCAUGUGGUAAUGCAAGAGGAUUAUCGGUUGUUUUUGGCUUAAUCUCCCUUUUGGGAGGUGAGACUUUCUUGAUACCAAUGUUGAUUGGAUUUGGAUUCAUGAAGAUGCCAACAAAGUGGAUUUUUAUUGGUUGCCAAUAUGGAUUGGACUUUGGUUUCGGAUAUGCCAAUAGGGAUUGGACUUUGACAUUAUGAGGAUGCCAACAAAGUGGACAUUUAUUUUUAGUAGUUGCCAAUAUGGAUUGGACUUUUGGUUGGUAAAAGGUUUUGACUUCCCGACACUCUGUAUUUUGAAGAUGCGAUGAUCAAAGGAUAGAUGUGGAUGCUUUUGGUGCCCCAAAUUUGAUCUGUUGUUGAUAUAUUGUGUGUUUAGUCUUGAGAGGACCUCAACUUCUUUGCUUGAUAUGCUUUGAUGGCUUGUAAAUGAGCAUAAUGACGUAAUCAAUGCAUAAUGAUUGUGCUCUUGCUCUUCCCUAAGGCUCUUUACAACUUGUAUGCCCCAACCUUUAGGGUCUUUUAAAGGAAUUCAUCUUUGAAAGGAAACCCUGGGAAUGCACAUACCAUGGCUUGAACCAACUUUGGCCCAGUACAUGGAUCAUGCAGUGGUUUUCCCCUGAUUAAGAUUUUGAAAGGCUUGCCCCAGAUGGACUGGAUAUUUUGAAAUUGUUUGCCUCCUUGAUCAACUGAUGCUUGGAGUUUGUCUUUUGACUGACCAAUUCAUAGUCAUUAGAUGCCAUGCCCUUGAUCCAUAGGGUUAAGAGGUGGUCUUGAUUCGGAUCAGCACCAACGGAUGUUCAAGUUCCUCUGAUUGUUCCUUAUUGUUGGAAUUUCCUUGAUAUAAAGUACUAACUUGCAGUUAAAAUUGUUUAUUUAAUCAAUGGUAAUUUUAAUGCGAUAUUCAUGCAGGUUUGAAAAAUCAUUUAUUGAGGUGAUGUGAUUAUGUGUGACGAAUGAACCAUUAGUCCAAACGCAGUGCUGAUUUAUCUAGUGUGUGAAAGAUAUAGCAAGAAUAUGAUCCCAUAUACAGGUGAUUAGCAAAUAUUUAGGAGCCAGUUUACACAUCUUUGCUGUAGUAUGCUUUCAGAAUAAACCUUUCUUCAAUUAGGUCUUUUAAGGGUUGUAACGUGGCUUGGUUCACGGUUACUGACACAAAGGAUGUAGGACUCAAAUUUUGUUUUAACCCACCCUAUCUUCAUGAUGAUCUCCAAUCCUACAUUAAGUUAAACACACACAUUCAACUUUUAAGAGAGUUUGGCAGUGUAAGAUCUCUUGAAAUGGCAGUCAUCUUAUUUUGCUCUUCAUGGAUGUUGGUGACACUUUGAUUUUGGUAUGGUGGUCACUGAAUCUUGUUUUGCUUUGUUGAGGGUUUUCAUUGCCUCUUUUGAUUUUUGUUUUGAUCCCUAACGUUUUCCUGUACCGCUUUUGAAGCUUUGGUCCAUCGGGAUUUCCCCAUGUUUUUGCCUAAGUCUCUUUUUGGGGAUCGACUUAGCAGGCUUUUUUUCUUUUGUUUGAAAAAUUGUGACUUCCAAGUCAUUGGUCAUUGAAGAACAAUCGACAUAAAUUUUGGAUUUUGUAUGGUUAUUUACCACUUCAGGAUGUGUUCGCAGAUUAUCAUGUGGUUGAUCCUCUGACGGGGUGUUUCAUCUUAUAAUUUGAAUGCGUAGUCAGAUUAACUGAACACUACCCUGCCCCAGGUUAAGCGUAAGGGUUUGUAAAUCCGAAAUAAAGUCCUACUUCUAGGCUCGAAGUGGUUGACUAGGGAUUAACUCCUUAUCUCUCCAGUGUUUGGGGAUUUAAAACAAUGCCUGUACAUCAUCAGCAAGAUUUUAUCCGAAAGCAUACAGUCAGCCAUUAUGGGUAUUUCAUUUUCGUCAUCCUCCCUUCAAUCUUUUCUAAAAUAACUAUUUGAUAAACGAAUGGGAGUAAUAUUUUUGUUUUUUGAUAUAAAUGGAAAAUAUGAGUGAAUACGAAAGGAUUCAUUAAAAACACACAUAAUCAUUUCAUUAAUAUUACCAUUAAAAGAAGUCAACAAUACUUGAAAGCAGAUAAGUACCUGACAUGCAAAGAAAAAUACAAAUGAAAUGCUAGAAAUAGCCAAAUGAUAGUCAAUGCAGAGGAAGCUCUCUCGUGUCUAGUUCACUACUGGGCUAGCCUCCUUCAGAGUAGUGGUAGUUUUGCUCGUCGAGACUAGUAUGAUAAUCAUCUUCAGACCUAUUCUCGGAAUUUUCUUCCAUAACAUGGACUGAUGGACCCACAUAUCUAGGUGAAGAAGUAUUAUUGAUUUUCAAGCUUCGAGGUGUAAAUGAGAACAUCUUGGAAUCAAGCAGGGUUUGUACUUUUCUCUUGAGAACCUUACAGUCUUUAGUUGAAUGCCCAUGUGCCCCAUCAUGGAAGUCACAUUGGGAGUUGGCGUCAAAACCUGGUGGAUACAGAGGAAUGACUGGAUUUAGCUUCUUUGGCACUAUCAGUCCUCUCUCAAUCAAAUACGGAAGUACUUGACUGUAUGUCAUUGGAAGUGGAUCGAUGUGUCUCUCUAGCUUUCUUGGCCUUCAUUGAGCCUGUUGACAUUGUCGAUGUGGAACAUCCUGUCAUUUGUAUGGUCGUUGAGGUGGAACUGUUGUUGAUGUUGAGGAGAUCUUUGAUGUGGAGAGGAUGAUCUCUGAUAUGGAGCUUAUGGGAUUUCCCAAACUGCAUUAAUUUCAACCUCUUCUUCCUUUAGUGAACUGAUAAUAUAUUCAAUCUCAAUGUUCUGGCUAUUUGAGGCGUGUUGGAUUCUUCCACUUUCAAAGCCAUACUCGACGCGUUCUCCAAUUGACACCAAGUGAGCGAAGUCUGAUGCUACACUGCUAAUCAUCCUUUCGAAGUAAGGGCUUUGCAAAGUAUCCCUGAAUAAUCCCAUCAAUUCUUUUUCUAAGAGUGGUGGUUCAAUGCAAUCCGCUAACUCUCUCCAUCUUUGGGCAUACCCUCUGAAGGAUUCAUCGCUUUCCUUAGAUAAGGCUCUUAACUGCAUGUGAUCAGGAGCUAUGUCCAAAUUAUAUUUGUAUUACUUCAAGAAGUCGUUAGCUAGGUCCAACCAUGGUUGAACAUGAUUCCUUUCUAACUUCAUAUACCAACUCAUUGAUGCCCCAGUUAAACUGUCUUGAAAACAAUGAAUCAUUAGCUUAUCAUUAUGGGCAUGAGAGGUCAUUUUUCGACAAAACAUCACCAAAUGGUGCUUUGGAUAGCCACCCCCUUUGUACUUCUCAAAUUUUGGUACUUUGAAUUUUGGGAUUAUAACCAGGCUAGGUACCAAACACAUGUUUGAAGCAUUCAGUUCAGGAUUAUCUUGUCCUUCUAUGGCCUUGAGUCUUUUCUCAAGCACACAACAUCUUUCAACGAUCUCAUCAUCUUGUGGUCAUUCAGUAUUAACCACUAGGCGUGUUCCAUGGGAAUUUGGCACGGAGAAUGCAAAGUUAUGAUAUUCAACACCAUCAUGAUAUGAGGAAUCUCGAACAUUAUGACGUUCUUGUACAACAGGGUUAUCAACUAGGGUUUGCACGGGCCGAGGCUGGGUGAGAUCAUUUAUUGGAGCUGGAAUAACAUUCUCAAUGACUGUAGUCUACUGAAUGUUGUCUUCCCUCUUUGAUAAAGCUAUCAUAGCCUCAACAAGUUAGUCUAUCUGGUUUUUCAUCGAGUCAACAUCUCCUCUUAAUGCAAUAUGACUUUGCUCCAAUGGAUCCAUGGUCUUUCAAGAGCUACUUCAAGUAUGAUAUGAGUGUCGGGAAUUCAACUGCAGGUUAUGAAGGAUGGAUGAGUCUUUUGUAUAUUUUGUGAAAAAUGAUAUGUAACGCAUGAUAAAUGCAGAUGCCGUGAUAUGUGUAUGAAUGAAGUGACAUGUUCAGGAUCACAGGUUCAAGGUAUUCUCAGGUUAAUUAGAAUAACGGGUAAAUGAUAGGUAUCUCUGAUUAAUGGAACCCCAUGGGAUAGGCUCUACAGUUGGUAGGUUCUUAGAGUCACGAAUAUUUCUUGAGAACAUCAUUGUCGUGACGAAGACUCAUCGGAUAAUAAUAUCCUUAAGAUGAUCUCGUCUAGGCGAGGUCUUCGUAUUGUCCCAACAAGGAAGGCUCCAUGGGGAUUCUACUACACAACUCUCGAGUCCAUGGUUCUAACAAGGUUCUUAGAGUCAUAGAUCGAGGUUGGAAAUAUUACUGUAAGAUAGUAAUACGUCCAAGGGAUCUCAUCUGAUUGGGGCUUUCAUAUUAACCCAACAAGUCUGAAACUUCGUAGGUUAAUACUACAUAAACGCCGGAUAGAGUGGGUUAAAAGGUCCCUAGAGUCAUUGAUCCAACUUGAAAAUACUAUCGUCGUGAAGAAGACUCGUUGGACAAUAAUAUCUCAAGAGAAUCUACUCUAGGUGGGGUCUUUGUAUCGUCCCAACAAGGAAGACUCCUUGUGGGCCUCCACCACACAACCACCAACUUAAUCUUAUGGUACUUCUCAGACUCGGGUGUAGAGCCUGUCUCACAAGGUACCAAUAACCAGAGAGCCCCAAAUAAGACAUAGUUAAUAAACCACAAAUCAAUAAUUACAACAGAAUAAUAAUAACAGAAUAAAGGUAACAAAAAAACAAGGUUAACACUCAACACAGAAACUGAACUAAGUUAGGCUUGACUCUCUCUUGCUUAGAGCUAAAUGUCCCCUGCAGAGUCUCCAUCUGUCGCAUCUCGAAAAAUACGAUUCCUCGCGAUGGUCGCGGAAAAAUUAUGUUCGAACAGAGUCGCCACCUACCUUUAUUUAUCCCAAUGAAGGAAUAGGAAAAUAUCGAUAAAACCUUUAGAAAGUAGAAUAAUGGUCAUCGCAACCAUAUUCGAGUUCCGGAGUCGAUUACGCAAGGGGAAGGUAUUAGCACCCCUCACGUCUGUUGUACUCAACGGGAACCUUUUAGUUUAAUUUGAGAUUUGAAUGUUAGCUUAUGUUGUUUGUUUUCUUCGAGUGAAUAAAAGAUUAAAAUAGAGAUGGAUGGAAACCUCAUAAAGGGGAAAGGGAGGUUUUUUAUUAGUGUGCUCGCCAAGAUCUCGCAAUCUCGUGCCUACGUAUCCUUAUGGUGCAAUAAGGAAAUCAGAGCAUUCGUAGUUCGGGGAACUACGGUUUGUUGGCGUCUUUUAGCGAACAACUGUUUAGAUCGCGUUCUAAAGGUUAAAUGUUGGCUUGCCUACUCUCGACGUAGGCUUAAGCACUAGUUUGUUGUGUGCAUUAGAAAGGAUUAAACAGUGUUCUUUCUGAAAAGAGUUUUGGUCACACGGGGGUGACAAGUUGAGUUAAUAUGUUGGGUGUUUUGUUGGAUUGGUUUUGAUCGCACGGGGGAGAGAAAGAGAUUUAAUGUGUUGUGAUAUCUUGUUGGAUGAUGAUUACUCGGAUGAUCGAGUAAGACAACUGUGAUAUCUUGUUUGAUAAUAAUUAAGGUGUUUUAAAAGGAUGAAGAAUACUCGGAUAGUCGAGUAAGACAACUCUUAUCCUAAUAGUCAGGAAAGGGAAUAAAAGACUCUAGACCACCUUCUUUUUCAUCUGAGUGAUUGUGAGAAUAGGAUUAUGUAUGGUUGAUGUAUUUUUCGAAUGAAUGACAAGUACUUGAAUGGCUGAGUAAGACAACUCUUAUCCAAGCAUUUGAGGAGAGGAAUCGAAGGCUCUAGACCAUCUCCCUUUUCGCAUAGUUUAUUGUGAAAAUGAUUUAAUUAAGUUAUAUGUUUGUGGAAAAAUGACAAUUGUUUGACUAACCGAGUAAGAGAACUCGUAUUCAAUCAAUAUAGAAGAGAAGUUGAAGGCUAAAAAUCAUCUCCCUUUUCAUUUCAUUAUUAUGAAAAUAAUUUGAUUUAAUCUUGGUUUAAGGUUUGUAAAGAAACGACGAUUGUCUAACUGAGCGAGUAAGAAAACUCGUAUUCAAACAAUCGAGGAGAGGAGUUAAAGGCUUAAAAUCAUCCCCCUUUUCAUUUAGUUUAUUAUACGAAUGUUUUGAUUUAAUUAUGCUUAAGCGGAUUAGAAAUGACAAUUAUUUGACUAACCGAGUAAGAGAACUCGUUAAUCGAGGAGAGGAGUUGAAAACUCAAAACCAUCCCCCUUUUCACUUCGUAAUUAUGAAAUGGUAUUUAAUUGUGAUUAGGUGUUUUGAUAAUUAAUUUUGAACAACAUACACGACAUUGGAUCGAGGGUUGAAUUGGUGUUUGUGAAUAAAUUAUAUUUUAAUGAAUCAAUCAUCUAAUCGAUUAAUUAAUAACCGAAUAGGUCUCACUGUAAGAAAGCUCAAGAGUAAGCUAUGUGAGGUUGAUGGCGAUGCUUAGAAGCAAUCGACUUACAAGGUAUUUGAAAAUAGGCUCGACAUGGAAUCGAGAAGUAUGUGAUCUUUUAAAUGGUUUGAAUGGUUUAUAUUAUGAAGUGAUAGCAAAAAUGAUCGUGAAACAAAUCGGUCAACUUUUAAAAAAUAAAAUUAAUUAAUUAAAAUUCAAUUAAUCCAUCUAAUUAAGAUAAUUAAAAUUAAUUAUCAAAAUUAUUCGAUUAAAAAUUAAUGUAAUCAAAUAAUUAAGUUAAUUAAAAUUAGUUAACGAAAUUAUCUAAUUAAUCAAGACUUUAAUUAAUUAAUCAAUUUAGAAAAAGAAAUAAGUGACAAUAUUGAAUAUUAAAUAAUUGAAUCGAAUCAGCCACCAUAUGCUCACAAACCGGUUUGUACAAUGCGACAAUGGAAUUGAAAUGUCGUAUGUGAAGAUCAAAACGUGGCGAAAUGCUCGAUUGAUUUGUUAAAAUUUAAUGAUAUACCAGCAUGAAAUUGCCGGAUCCGCAAAUUAAAAUUCCAUUUUAAGCGCAAUGAAGACCCAAUAGAAACCCAAUCAAUAUAUGACAUGUGACACUAAUAUUAACAAUGAUCAUAAAAGAAUACCUAACGUUUGCUUUCUUUUAUUCACAUGAAAUUGGUAUACAUGCCAAUAACAUUUCACCAACUUCACGCUCUUGAAUUAACGAAUUGAUUAAUUAUUCAUCACCAAUUUCCACACUUUAAAUAAUAAUCUAAAACCGAACUCUGACUUUUCAUAUUAAGGCAUAUAUCAUGUUUUUAGAAAAUAGAAUGUACUUAUUAACAAAAGAAAAGAAUUAGAAAAAAAAAUUGUCAAUAUAAUGAACACAGUGUAUUAGAGUGGAAUAACCAAGGCUAUGAAUACAAUGCCUCGUUACGAGCCUCCCUGGAAUAAUAAUAUCAUCAUCACCUAACCAAUGUUCAAAUUAAAACACCAAAGACUAUGAAGGAUUCAGCGCAUCUUAAAGUCAUAACAACAAGCAUAAUCCCACAACAGUAUACAUCCCCUUUGUAAAUUUAUAUUAAACCCAGAUUUUAAUAAUAUUGAAAGAACCAAAUACAAACUUAAAUGUAUAAGUUUUACAUAAACAGUUAUCCAAAUGGAAAUAAUUGAGCGUUACCGAAACAACGGUAUGGUCAGAGAUCGUUGGCGGCGAUUUGGGAUGUCGCUCGGUAAUCGCGCAUGUUGGCGACGAUUUGGGGAUAUCGACGGUGAGUGGUUGUUGUUGGAGGAAAGGGGCGUCGCCGACGAUUGAGAAGGUUUGAUGUGAGAGUAGGUGUGAAAAGGAGGAAACGGCGGUUUCGCGGUGGUGGUGUAGUGGAAGUUGUUCGUCGGAAAGGCGAAGAGGAGUUGUUGUGACGGACGGUUCCAGGCGGUGGAUUUAUUGGAGAUUCGGAUGGAGUUUCCGGUGAGGGAGGUCGCGGAUGGAGGUCGAAGGUAGUUUCCGGAGGUGGCGGUUGGAGUUUGGGGUUUCGCGGCGACGAGAUGAAGAGUGAAGGGGUUGUGCGUUGUUGUUGGGUUGGAACGCGGAUGGAGGCUUGCCAGCGGUGAGCGGAUCUAUGUUGAUUCUGGCGGAAGGAAGGCGGUUGUUUGGCGCUGUGGAGAAAAAUAUGGAAAAAUUUCUUUCUCUUUUUAUUUUCUUCCCCUUUCUUCACGUUCAGAGUGAAAGAGCGUCAUUUUGGAGAGUGAGAGGAGCGGUUUUCCUGUGGUCCUCUCUCUUGUUUUCUUUAUCGUUUUCUUUUUUCUAUUUUCUUAAUUUUUUGCUGAGAGAGAGUGAUGAUUGAGGAGUCAAGUCAGUCCCCUAGAGAGAGAAGAGAGGUCGCCUUUUAUUUUGUGGGUUCCUUUUUUUUUAUCGUUUUCCUUUCUUUUAGUGUACCGUUGGAGACCCUUAGUGGAGAUGGAUGCGUGUUAGUUGUCGUGUUAGUUGUCAUCUUUUGCCAGCGAGCAAGAGAGAGGAUUUGGAGAGAAACUUUUUAUUUUCAUAUUUUUCUAAUAAUAGUAUUAAUUAAAUCCCAAAUUUUGAUUGGAUAAAUGGGAUAAGUGUGGAUUGCUAACGAGGAGCAUUGAUUAAUUUGAAUCGUUGAUUCAGAUUAAAUCAAAGAAGCACAAACAAUUUAAAAUGGCAAACUUCCCCUUCUAGAUGAUUUAAAUGGAAUUAAAUCAUUUAAUUCAAAUAAAAUUCACAACUUUUCACAUAAUCAUGAUAAAAUUAAAAUAAGAGCAUGGAAAAUUCUAUUUAUUUAAUCUGGAAAUUUUGGCGAAAGAAUAAAAUUAAAACGACUAAAAAUGAAUAAAAGUCGGGCAAAAAUUUGCUCGAAAAAUUAAAUCGGAUGCAUGAAAAUGAUCAACACGAGAUAUACUUAUUAAAAAAAUACAAUGUUUCUUUAAAUUCUGAAAUAAAUUUUCAUCGGUUAAAAGGCUCAAAUGGAUUAAAAUGCAGCUGAAAAAGUCCUUGAAAAAUAUAACGAGCACACCAGGCUGAACCACGCGAACUGUAGAUUAAUAAUAAUGGCGUCUGUAAGUUUGAUUUCGAAACUUUUUACCCGCUGAUUUUGCACGUACUUGACGAAUGAUUUAACCAAUUUGACUGUAUAUUCAAUAAUUCAUUUCGAUUGAUAUUUUAGGUAUUAUUCAUGAUGAAAUGCAUUUUAUGAUGUACAUAUGAUGCAAACUGAAAUUAAAAUCGAAUUUAUAAAAGUUUUAAAAUGGCGGAACAAAAUUGGGGUAUGACAGGGUCUUUUCAACAUGUUUUGUCCUUACUCACACGCUUUCCAGGAAACUUCCCAGAAGGUCACCUAUCCAAAUACUACUCCAAGUCAAACACGCUUAACUAUGGAGUUCUUAUUUGUUAGGCUACCAAAAAGAAGAUGCAUCUUAUUGGUAUAGGUAGUACCAAUUAAUCCUUAUAAGGCUUCCUUCAACGAUGCAGUCCCAUACUUGCACAGCCUCAAGAUCCCUCUCAUUCCGAUGUGGAUUCAAUUUUUCCCUAGAAGCUGCUAGGAGUGUCCUUACUCACACGCUUUCCGAGAUCCCACCAGCUUCGACUUGGUUUUUCCCCGAACCAUAUUGUACUGGGAGAGGUACGACUCUGAUACCAUUUGUAACACCCCAGACUACUUUCAGAAUUAUCGAAUGACCCCACAAACCAACACGGGUCUUUUCAGCAUGUUUUAUCCUCACUUACACACUUUCCAGGAAACUUCCUAGACGGUCACUCAUCCAAAUACUACUCCAAGUCAAGCACACUUAACUAUGGAGUUCUUAUCUGUUAGGCUACUGGAAAAAAAGACGCAUCUUAUUGGUAUAUGUAGUACCAAUUAAUCCUUAUAAGCCUUCCUUCAACGAUGCAGUCCCAUACCUGCACAGCCUCAGGAUCCCUCUCAUUCCGAUGUGAAUUCGGUUUUUCCCUAGAAGUUGCUAGGAGUGUCUCAUUGUCAUGCCUCAUGCACCUACAACCACUCCAUCACCCUCGAGUGUAACAUGUAACCACUAUAUGUCCUCUCUGGACUUGGGUGUUACAUGCCCACCAGCUUCCGCUUGGUUCCUUCCCGAACCACAUCGUAUUGGAAAAGGCACGGCUCUGAUACCAUUUGUAACACCCCAAACUACUUUCAAAAUUAUCGACUGACCCCAUAAACCAACACAGAUCUUUUCAGCAUGUUUUAUCCUCACUCAUACGCUUUCUGGGAAACUUCCCAGAAGGUCACCCAUCCAAAUACUACUCCAAGUCAAGCACGCUUAAAUAUGGAGUUCUUAUCUGUUUGGUUACCGAAAAGAAGAUGCAUCUUGUUGGUAUAUGUAGUUCCAAUUAAUCCCUAUAAGUGUUCCUUCAAUGACGUAGUCCCAUACAUGCACAACCUCAAGAUCCCUCUCAUCUUGAUGUGGAUUCGAUUUUUCCCUAGAAGCUGCUAGGAGUGUCUCGUUGUCAUACCUCAUGCACCGACAACCACUCCCUCUCCUUCAGGUAUUAGAUGUAUCCACUCUCCGCCCUCUUAGGCCUCGGGUGUUACAUGUAAAAUAUGAAAGGUGAUAUUUGAACUCACUACCUCUCAUACUCAUAACUCCUUAGCCAUACUCUCCAUCCAUUAGACCAUUGCACCCAUCCUAAGAAAUGUGAGAUUCAAACUCACAACCUCUCAUGCUCAUAAUUUCUUACCCAUACACUACCAUCCAUUAGGCCAUUGCUGCUCUGAUACCAUUUGUAACGCCUCAUACUGCUCUCAGGAUUACCGACUGACCCCACAAACCAACACGGGUAUUUUUAACACGCUUUGUCCUUACUCACACACUUUACGGAAAACUUCCCAGAAGGUCACCCAUCUAAAUACUACUCCAAGUCAAGCACGUUUAACUAUGAAGUUCUUAUCUGUUAGGCUACUGAAAAGAAGAUGCAUCUUGUUUUCGGUAGCCUAACAGAUAAGAACUCCAUAGUUAAGCGUUCUUGACUUGGAGUAGUAUUUGGAUGGGUGACCUUCUGGGAAGUUUCCCAAAAAGCGUGUGAGUGAGGACAAAACAUACUGAAAAGACCCGUGUUGGUUUGUGGGGUCAGUCAAUAAUUAUGAAAGUAAUUUGGAUUAGGCUAGAAGACAUCUUUCCACAUCUUAGGGUGCGGGCUGGUAAUGAUGUAUGAUGUUGUUGACUUCCUCCUCUGGGACGCAACGACGAAAGAUACCAUCAACACCUCUUUUGAAAAGGAGAGGCUCAUCCCAGUAGUAGUGUUUCAGUUCAUGGAAGAAUUUAUUCUUCUGCUGGUAAGUUAGCCUUGAAGGAAGUUCUCCGGCUACUAGGUAGUUGACAAAGUCAGUGUACCACGAUACAGUAGUUUUAGUAAUUAUGGCCUCCACAACCUCUUCAAUUUCUGCAUCUUUAAAAGUUAAAGAGUACUCAGUUGUGUUACUUUCAAUUUGAGCUACAAGUCGAUCAUAUGGAAAAUCAUCGUUGAUUGGUUAUUGCUCGAUUUUCAUAUUCUCGAGUAUAGACAGGUGGUCGGCAACAACGUUUUCAGUUCCCUUCUUGUAUUUGAUCUCCAAGUUGAAUUCUUGCAAGAGAAGAAUCCAUCUUAAGAGCCUUGGUUUGGCAUAUUUUUUAUUCAAUAGAUACCUGAUUGCGGCGUGAUCAGUGUAGAUAAUUAUUUUAGCUCCUACCAAGUAGGAACGAAAUUUAUCUAACGCGAAAACAACAACUAGGAGCUCAUUUUCAGUCGUGGCGUAGUUCAUUUGUGCUUGGUCCAAGGUUCUACUUGCAUCAAAGAUCGCAUGAAGCUUUUUAUCAGUUCUAUGUCCCAAGGCCGCGCCUACAACAUAAUCACUCACGUCACACAUCAUCUCAAAAGGUCUGCUCCAAUCAGGUAGUUGCAUGAUGGGCACAAUUAUUAGGGCGUUUUUCAAUAAUUCGAACGCCUCCAGACAUUUUUCCGUCAAAGACGAAUUUCAUGUCUUUCAUUAAUAAGUUGGUUAAUGGUUUUGUUAUUUUACAAAAAUCUUUAAUAAACCGGCGGUAAAAACCGGCGUGUCCUAAAAAGCUUCAUAUUUCUCUAACAUAUUUCGAGGGUUGGAGGUUUUCUAUAACCUCUAUUUUUGCUUUGUCGACUUCAAUCCCCUUAUUGGACACUAUAUGUCCAAGUAUUAUCCCUUGUUUAACCAUGAAAUGAAAUUUUUCCCAAUUUAUCACGAGAUUAACCUUCACACAUCUAUCAAGUGCCAUUUCUAGGUUUUUUAGACAACCUUCGAAACUCUACCCACAAACGAAAAAAUCAUCCAUAAACACCUCGAUGAUGUUGUCUAUAUAGUCUGCGAAAAUUGACAUCAUGCACCUUUAAAAUGUUGCGGGAGCAUUACAAAGUCCAAAUGACAUUCGUCUGUAGGCAAAUGUACCAAAGGACAUGUGAAAGUUGUCUUUUCUUGGUCAUUAGGAUGGAUGGGAAUUUGAAAGAAUCCUGAGUAACCAUCCAGAUAUCAAAAAUGAGAGUGCUUAGCUAAUCGUUCCAGCAUUUGAUCGAUAAAAGUUAAGGGGAAGUGAUCCUUGUGAGUGACUUUAUUUAAUUUUAGGUAAUCAAUGCACAUCCUCCAUCCAGUUACUACAUGUUUAGCUAAAAUCUCUCCCUUUUUGUUAUCGACAACCGUAACACCACCUUUCUUGGGUACUACAUGUACUGGGCUGACCCAUUUACUGUCAGAUAUGGGAUAUAUAAUAUCUGCCUCUAAUAACUUCAACACUUCUUUUCUUACAACAUUGCUCAUAAUCGGGUUUAGAUGCCUCUGGUGUUCCCUAGAGGUUUUCGAGUCUUCUUCUAGCAUAAUGCGAUGCAUGUAUAGAGAGGGACUAAUUCAUUUUAAGUCUGAGAUGUUGUUGCCUAAGGAAUUAGGGUAUUUCCUUAGGACAUGUAAUAGUUUUUCAGUUUCUAUUUAUCCUAAAUCGGUGUUGACUAUUACUGGUUUCUCAAGCUCAGUGUCCAGGAAUUCGUAUCUCAUAUUUUUCGGUAGUGUUAUAAGUUCUAUAGAUGGUUUCUUCGAGCAUGGCAUAGGAUUUGGAGUUAUUGCUAGACAUUCCCUUAAACUAUCAUCUACGGAUGGUUCUUUGUAUUGGUCAUCCUCAAGAAUGGGUGGUGUUGUGAUUUUUAGGAUUUCAGUAUCCUCGGAUGGUUCCAUUUUUAUUUCUUUCAUACACUCAUCAAUGAUGUCCAUAAAAUAACAUGUGUCGUCUAUGGCUGGUGCUUUUAGAAAUUGCGAUAAAAUGAAUUCAAUCUUCUCCUCUCCCACUUCGAAAAUCAUUUUUCCUCGUUUCACAUCUAUAAUGGCACCGGCAGUUGCUAGGAAGGGUCUACCUAGGAUAAUUGAGAUGUUAGAAUCUUCUAUGAUGUCCAUUAUUAUGAAAUCGGUAAGGAUGAAGAAUUGGCCGACUUGGACGGGAAUGUUCUCUAGCAUUCCUAUAGGAUACUUAACAGAACAAACUGCUAAUUGUAGAGACAUACUCGUUGGUCUUAACUCUCCCAAUUUGAGUCUUUCGCAGAUGGAAAGGGGCAUCAAACUCGCACUAGCUCCUAAAUUGCAGAGGGCUUUAUCUAUUACAAACUUCCCUAUCACACAAGGUAUGGAAAACUGCCAGGAUCUUUUAGUUUAGGUGGCAUGUUAUUCUAAAUGAUAGCACUACACUCUGUGUUAAGCGUCACUGUCUCAUCAUCCUCAAGUUUCUUCUUGUUAGAUAAGAUUUCUUUUAGGAACUUGGCAUAUGAGGGUAUUUGUGUAAUAGCUUCAUGAAAGGGAUGGUAAUAUUAAGUUGUUUCAAGAGUUCGACGAACUUCCUGAAUUGUCCUUCAGUUUUGGAAUUAUCUAGUAUUUAAGGGUAAGGAAUUGGUGGUUUAUAUGGUGGUGGAGGCACGUAUGGUUUCUCCUUCUCAACUGCCUCUUUGGUUUCAUCUUUUGCCUCUGGUUUAUCAGGUUGGCCAUUUUUCUGAGUCAUCGGCGGAAUUUAUGUUUUGGGAUCAACUGGUCCGUCUAACUUCGUCCCGCUCCAUAAUGUGAUAGCAUUAGCUUGACCUUUCGGUUCGGUUGAGGUUGACCAGGGAAAGUUCUAGCUGAAACUGCGGUAGUUUCUUGAUGCUGGGCUACUUGAGAAAUUUGAGUUUCCAACAUUUUCUUAUGAGUAGCCAAAGCAUCUACUUUAGUUGCUAAUUGUUUCACUAAUUCUGAGGUAUGAACGUUCUGGUUCAUAAACUCCUUAUUUUGUUGCGUUUGAGAAGCAACAAAUUUUUCCAUCAUUAACUCAAGAUUAGAUUUUCUAGGCGUUUGAGGAGCGGCUUGAGGUGCGCUCUGAGUUGGCUUAUGGUAACCAGAAGGUGGUUGGUUUAGAGCAUAUAAGGCAUUGUUAUUCUUAUAAGAGAAGUUAGGAUGGUUUUUCCAACCUGGGUUGUAAGUAUUGGAGUACGGGUUUCCUUGAGCAUAGUUUAAUUGGUCAGGUGUAAUGCCUGCUAGUAAUUGGCAUUCGGAAAUGUCGUGUCCAGGUACUCCACAUAUAUUGUAGCUUAGGGCUAUGGCAUCCACGGUGGCCACGGGAUUUAUGGUUAAACUUUCAAUCUUUUGAGUCAGGGCAUCUACCUUAGCAUUGACGUGAUCUAUGCCAUUGACUUCGUACAUACCUCCUUUUGGUUGAGGUUUCUCUAUAGAAGUGCGCUCUCCACCCUAUUGGUAGUGAUUUUGUUCCAUAUUUUGAAUGAGUUGAUCAGCCUCUUCAUAUGGUUUGUCCCUUAUAGUGACGCCAACUACAACGUCUAAGAUUAAUUUGGUGUUAUAUGAGAGACCACCAUAGAAGGUUUAGAUGAUAAGCCAUGGUUCAAGCCCAUGGUGCGGGCAAAUCCUCAGCAUGUCCUUAUAUCUCUCCCACGCUUCAAAAAGUGAUUUGUUGUCCUUUUGCCUAAAUCCUUUGAUUUGGCUUCUUAGCAUAGCCAUUUUACUAGGUGGGAAAUAUCUGGCUAAGAAACCUUCUUUAAUUCUUCCCAUGUAGUUAUGGAAUUGGAAGGUAAAGACUGAAGCCACACUCUAGCUCUGUCUCUUAAAGAAAAGGGGAAAAGACGUAAUCGUAUUGCUUCAGGAUUAACACCUUAGCUUUUACCGUAUCUGCAUAUUGUAUGAAUACUGACAGAUGGAGAUUCGAAUCGUCUGUAGGAUUGUUAGAGAAUUAGUUUUGUUGUACAGCUUGUAACAGUGAAGGUUUCAACUCGAAAUCGUUUCGGUCGAUGGCAGGGGAAGCAAUGUUGUUGUGUGGUUCAUCCUGAAAUGGGGCAGCAUAGUCCCUUAAAGGAUGGUUAGCAGGGGCGGCCAUAUCUGGUUCGAGUAUAUCAGGAUCAAGAAGGUUGUAUUUUAAACGGAAUUGUUUAAGUCAGUGUCUUAGACUAAUAUAACGCUCGAUUUCGUCUAUCGGUUGUUCUAACUCGUCUUCUUGUGAGCGAGUGUUUAACAUGCAACCAAAACAAAUAAAAAGGAAAAUAGUUUCCUUAGUCUAUAUCGUGCAACAGUGGAGUUACGAUAUUGACUUAAUUAGUCCCCGGAAACGGCGCCAAAAACUUGAUCGUGACUUAGUAUGUCUAUCGAAAUGGCUAACUGCAAGUGCACAGUCAUAUUGUGUAGUUUUAAAAAGAUGUUGAACCCAAAGGACCAAAAUUCAAACUAUCGUUAUCUAAAGUUACUAUGUAAAGCUAAAGCUAAUGAUUGUUUUCUUUUUUUUAGAUUGAUUAAGAGAAACGGAGAAAUAAAAUUUAACUAGAAAUAAUAAUAUAAUUAAAGUAUUCAAUAAAGAGGCAUCAGUAUGUAAAUCACAUCAUUCUUCGAGGAUUCGGAAAACAAUUAAUAUUAAAAUAAGGUAAAUCACUUUUCAGUAGAAAAUAUCAAAUUAAAAGACUUUGCCUCACACUCUUGUGUUAUUGGCUCGGGCUAUACUCAUAAGCCAAAAUGUUUUGCUCUCGCUCACCCACCUAAAUUAAAAGUAAUUUUUGGAAAUUGAUAAAUCAUAAUUAAUCCUAAAGCGAUCUCGUUGUGUUUAUGAUUAAUGCCUAGAAGCCACUAUCUGGUUAAAAUCUCAAACUCUCGUUCUGUUGAUUUAUAACCUUAUUGACUUUUCACUCUCGUGCAAAAACCUCUUUAAAUUAGAAUUGGAAACCAGAGCUAGAAAAAUAACUCAUAAAAAUUAUCAUUCAUUAUUACCGAAUCUCGUCAGAACGACAGUCCUUACAUACCGAUAUCGAAUGUUUUAGCCGGACAUGGUUUUAAACUUAAUCAUCCACAUACAAUCCUUAAACAUAAACAUAAUAAAAAUUCAGAAUUGCAAAUUAAAGCGGAAAGUAAAGAGUUCAGCAAUUAAAAGAAACCUGAUGAAUAAUAAUAAUUGGAUUAAACUUCGGAGGAUUCUUCGAGUACAAAUAACAAUUGGAAAACUACAACUAUGUCGGCACGCUUGAUCCAAGCAACUUGUAAAUGUAAAAGCAAAGGUGCAAUAGCUUCCCGAUGUGGAAGAACUAUCACUUUUAGAGUGUUUCUACUUAAAACUAAGAAUCAAAUUACACGAUGAAAACUUGGAUGCAUUUUUAUUCUAAUUUAGCCUUUUUUAUAUUGGUGAAGUAGGGCUGAACUUCCCUAAAUUCGUGUGGAAGUGGUGGAGAGGAAAUAGGGAGGGUUCUUGACCAUGUUUUAUGCAGUUCCUGAAAAACAGCACUGCGUGUCUGUGGCGAACGCCACAAGGCCAUGGCGAACACCAUGGUACUUAAACUCUGAAGUGAUGUGGCAAGGGGCGUGGCGAACGGAUCAGUCUCCAAUUCUACUUGUUUUCUGACACUCACUCUACACCUUUUCACGAAGUCGGUAACACAUUAGUCUACCUGUUUUAUCGUUCUGUUUAGUAAAUUAGAUGUUUUGCAUUGUUAUUUCAAGUUGUUGAUUAUAUUUGGUUUGCAUCAUUAUACUCCAUUUUUACCUUUUCACGAAGUCGGUAACACAUUAGUCUACCUGUUUUAUCGUUCUGUUUAGUAAAUUAGAUGUUUUGCAUUGUUAUUUCAAGUUGUUGAUUAUAUUUGGUUUGCAUCAUUAUACUCCAUUUUACAUCUCUUUGUGGUAGUUUUACUAGUUUCAGGUGUAAGCAAGAACACCAGAGGGAUAUCCAAGCGAAUUGGACAUUUCGGGCCCAUCGGAAGAGGAAAUUAGAUAACACAGUAGUCCUGACACGGCCACCCAUGUUUCCCAACACAGCCCGUGUCAGGAGGUGAAAGCCAUAAGAAGAAAACAGGGAGCUGGCACGGGUGCCCGCGUCAGCCUCCCUAGAGGGGCAUGUCAAGGCCAAUAUACCAGACAACCAACACGGUCUGACAUGGCUAGUGUUGGCUUGGACACCUCAUUUUCUAGUUUUUGCUAUAUUUUGGCACGGCUGAUCCCGAGAGGCAUUAUGGACUUUUGCUACAUCAAAUUAGUGAUCAGGAACUAUUUAGGGGAUUUUUUGAAUAUGGAGAAGGGGACUUUUGACGAUUACUGAUUGGAGACGAUAAAGAUUGAAGCGGUCAAAAACGACGAAGAACGAAGAUUCUUCAAGAGCGGAUGCAAUUGAAGAUCAAUGAAAUUCCCAUACUUUUGUAAUGUCUCGUUUUUAUGUAUCUUAUUUGAAUAAUAUGAGAGGUUAAACCCCCCCAAUGCCCGAGGGGGGGGGGGUGGGUUCCUUGAACUGAUCGUGUAAUGACUCGAAAGUUAUAAUUUCCUUAAUAUAUGAUGUUUGUUGUUAAUUUCACUAUGCAAUUUUGGGGGGGUGGGUUCCUUGAACUGAUCGUGUAAUGACUCGAAAGUUAUAAUUUCCUUAAUAUAUGAUGUUUGUUGUUAAUUUCACUAUGCAAUUUGCAUAAUGUUUUCUUUAUCAGAAAAAUCAAGAUUGUUGUAUGGUUAACAAUUAGCAGGAUUGCAAUUGUUAAGGUUUUUAUACAGUGAAGCCAUAGUAGAUAUCACCUAGGACUAGGGAUACCCUAUGGAUACCGGUUUAUUCUUGUUAAAUUGGAAUUACUUGGUUUCAUAAUAAUCGCCUAAUGACUUAGAGAUUAGAUUGAAUGACCAAAGGUUUCCCUCUGAGGUCUUAGGGGGAAACACUCUUAAGAUCCGGUAAUUGGAACAAUUUUCAUUAUUAAGGAGAUAUACACUCAAGGGUCAUUACAGGAGAUUUUUAUACACCAUCCUUGGCAUAUUAUUAUAAACUGUGAAAAGAUUUAUCCUAUUUUACUUUCUCUUACAGUGAAUUUUUUACAAAACCCCAACUAUUAGUUUUGUUCAAUUGAGUAACAAUUUACACGUAUAUUGUUGCGCAAUCCUCGAGGUCGAUCUUUGGGAAACAUCUAUAUUAUUACUACAUCGGCAAAAUAGUACACUUGCUAUUUUCCUGAUCAAGUUUUUGGCGCCGCUGCCGGGGAUUGCCAAAUAUAAGUUUAAAUUAUCUCAAUUGAAAUUUUGUUGCUCUGCAAAUAAAAUUUAUUUUUCGUUAUUUUAAUAAUUUAUUUCGAUUAUAUCAACUAAUCUCUGUCUGAUAUUUGUAUGCGAGGUAAGCCCUCAGCUGAUUUUCCUUUUGACGCAGAAAUCGAGAGAACCUUUCGGGCAAGACUCAGACAAGCUCGAUUGGUUAGAUUAGAAUCAGACGAAGAACAACUUUCCAUUCAUUCAGGUUCUGAGAGAGAGAUCGAAACUAUGGCUGAUGUUCCACCGCCACCAGAAAGACUGUUGGGUGACUACGGAGGUGAAAAUGCACCAAUCGGCAGAUUAACUAUUGGAAACUAACCAGUGAAUGUGGCUAAUUUCUAGUUGCAUCCGAGUACUAUUAAUCAACUUGAAAGGAAGCAUUUUACUGGAAAAGUAAAUGAAGAUACAAACAAGCAUUUGUAGAGGUUUCUGACCAUGAGCAACACUCUAAAAAUUGAUGGUCACACCGAAGAAGCUAAGAAAUUGAGAAUGUUUCCGUUCACCUUAGCGAAAGAAGCCGAAGAAUGGUUUUAUUCUCUAUCUGCCGGUAGCAUCACAUUUUGGGAAGAAAUGGAAAAAGCCUUCCUGAAUGAGUAUUUUCCAGCGUCGGUAUUUCUGCGGAAGAGGUAUGAAUUUCUGAAUUUUAAGCAGAAGGACGGGGAAACUUUGGGAGACGCAUACAAGAGAUUUAAGAGAGUCCUGGUCGCCUGCCCAACUCAUAAUAUGGAUCCAACUGAAUAGAUGCAGAUGUUUUUGAAUGGUCUCAAAAUAAAUACCAAACAGCUGAUUGAUACCGCAACCGGUGGCUCCACUAAUAUUUUAACAACCACCAGUAUCAAGAAGAUCAUUGAAGUUAUUGUUGCUAAUGAGCACUUGGAGUUGUACGAUAGAUGUCAAAGCAAACUAGAAGGGGUUAUAGAUUUAAAGCUGGAAAAUAAUAAAAUUUGUAUUGAAGAUACUCUAGCUGCUGAAGUUGAGAAGAAUCUGAAGGCGAUGAAUAUGGGUACCCAACAGGUGGCACAGGUCCAACCGGCUCCUACCGUCUGUUGUAAAAUUUGUAACGGCCCGCACCAAACUGUAUAUUGUUUUGUAACUCCUAAACAAGUGGAGGAAAUCAAAUUUUUGAAGCAGAAUAAUCCUUAUUCCAACACGUACAAUCCGGGUUGGAAGAAUCAUCCCAACUUCUCAUGGAAAGACCAAAAAGGAACCGCUCCUCAACAUGGUCAGUACAAAAAUUAAUAUCAACAACAGCAGCAACAACAAGCCCCUAAGAAAGCUGAUUGGGAAAUUGCAAUUGAAAGAAUGACAACUCAUAAUGUUCAAUUUCAAGAAGAAACCCGGAACAAUCAGAAAAACACCACAACAUCCAUAAAGAAUCUUGAAGUCCAAAUGGGUCAAACCGCUCAACAAUUAGCUUCGAGUUCUCAAGCACAAGAUGCUCUACCUAGUGCAACUGUGACAAAUCCUAGAGAGCAUAAUAAUGUGAGCGUUGUGAUAACAAGAAGUGGUAAAUCUGAUGAAGUAGUCGAGGAGGUGGAUGAAGAGGAAGAUCAAUUGAUCGAAGUGGAUCUUGAGAUCAAAGAAAAUGAAGUUGUGAGGGAAGAAGUGGUAGCAUCGAAACCAGUUAUGAAAGAAACAGUCAUUGAGCCUAAGCCGGUUGUUAAGCUCCCUUUUCCCAAUAGAAACAAGAAAAAGGGACAACAUGAGAAAAACUUUGAAAAAUUCUUAGAGUUGUUCAAAAAGUUGGAGAUAAACAUUCCCCUAUUGGAGGCACUUGAACAAAUGCCUACUUAUGCAAAGUUCAUGAAGGACAUCAUUUCGAAGAGGCAUACCGCCGACACCAACUUGAUUAUUCUAACUGAAACUUGUAGUGCUAUUUUCCAGGGUAUGAAGAUUCCGAUAAAGAAGAAAAAUCGAGGAGUUGUCACCAUCCAUUGUACUAUUGGAGAUAGGUCAUUCAACAAAGCUCUUAUUGAUUUUGGAGCUAGUGUGAGUCUCAUGCCAUUAUCCAUUUACAAGAAGCUUGGUAUAGGGGUUGUGCAAGAUACCAGGAUGACACUCCAAUUCCCCGAUCAUUCGGUAAAGAAACUGUAUGGUAUUGUUGAAGAUGUUCGGGUGAAAAUUGACAAGUUUGUAUUUCCGGUGGAUUUUGUAAUUCUUGAAAUGCCGGAAGAUGAAGAGAUCCCUCUCAUUUUUGGGAGACCCUUUUUAGAAACGGAAAGGUGCUUGAUCAACAUAGAAGAAGGGACCAUGACAUUGAAGGUUUAUGAUGAGGAAUUGAAAAUCGAUGUUCGAAACACCAUGAGGUACAAGGAUGAUAUUUGUACUAGUCAUACUAUAGAGGUUCUGGAUCAGGUGAUGACAUAUGAUAGUCCUUUGUAUGCACCACAGUCACCUUUGGAAAAAGUGUUGAGUUUGUCUAUUUUCGAUAGUGAUAAAGAAGUGGACAACGGGGAAUCUGAAGUGCUAGCCUUGUUAGACGCACAACCUCCGUGGAAAGGAUCUCGACCACACCAGUGGGAGGAUUUACGCCUACCUCAAUCUAGUGAGGAGGAUGAAGAGACAAAGAAGGGAACGGAGUUGAAACAACUUCCUGAGAAUCUUAAAUAUGUCUUUCUCGAUUCUGAAGGAAAAUGUCCUGCUAUCAUAAACUCGAGCCUAAAGAAUAUUCAAGAAGAAAGGCUCAUCCAAGUCCUAAAAAAAUACAAAAAUUAUGUUGGAUGGGCAAUUGAAGAUUUUAAAGGUAUUAGCCCUACUGUGUGCAUCCAUAAAAUUAUCAUGGAAGAAGACCACAAACCGGUAGUCCAACCGCAGAGAAGACUUAAUCCGGCAAUGAAGGAGGUAGUUCGGAAAGAGGUGGUGAAAUUGUUAGAUGCAUGCCUUAUAUAUCCUAUUUCUGACAGUCCCUGGGUGAGCCCAAUGCAUGUUGUCCCUAAGAAAUGGGGGACCACAGUAAUAAGGAAUGAAAAAAAUGAGUUAAUUCCUACUCGAACAAUCACCGGGUGGCGUGUUUGCGUUGACUACAAAAGGUUGAACAUAGAAACUAGAAAGGACGACUUCCCAUUGCCAUUUAUUGACCAGAUGUUGGAAAGGUUAGCCGGACACGAUUACUAUUGUUUUCUAGAUGGAUACUCCGGGUAUAAUCAGAUUGCAGUCGCUCCAGAAGACCAAGAAAAGACAUCAUUCACAUGCCCGUAUGGUGUAUUUGCAUACCGAAGAAUGUCAUUCGGGUUGUGUAAUGCUUCAACAACCUUCCAAUGAUGCAUGAAUUCCAUUUUCUCCGACAUGCUCGAAAAGCAUAUGGAAGUCUUCAUGGAUGACUUCUCGGUCUUUGGAUCCUCAUUUGAUAACUGUUUAACUAAUCUCUCUCUUGUUUUAGACAGGUGCCAAAAAACAAAUUUAAUUAUGAACUGGGAGAAAUGUCACUUCAUGGUGCGAGAAGGGAUAUUAUUGGGUCACAAAAUUUCCUACAAGGGAAUUGAAGUUGACCAAGCAAAAGAGGAAGUGAUAUUGUAGCGGUAAAUUCAUGAUCAUCAAGCUAUGGAUAAGCAAGACAUCAAAUAACAAGAGUCACCACCGCACUUUUAUUGUUUCCAAGGGAAAAGGGAAAAGUACGAACAAAACCCAAAAAUAAGAAGUUUUCAAAUCAAAACUAAUAAAAUACCAGAGAUUACAGGUAAGGGGGUUGGUUACACAGAGGGAAGGUGUUAGUACCCAAAGUGUCCUAGGUACUCCUAGGGAGCCCUUUCUUGUGUGCAUAUGUACUUUGUACAAAAUGAUGUUUACAAACAAAUAGAAUGGGGGGAUGAGAAAAGAAUUCAUUAAUCAUAUUUUUGUGUUUGACAAGACCUUCGGACUUGUGCCUACGUACCAACAUAAAAAUGAGGGAUCAAAACCUCAUAGUUCGUGAUAUCAAUUUCAAAGUGAGCGAAUUGCUUUUAACAAAAAUUUAAGUUUAAAAGGCACAAGGGCCUAGAAAAUGGUUUGAAUGAGUUAGUUCUUUUUGGAUUUUGAAAAUUUUAAGUCAAGUAUAGUUAAGUUUAUUUACAAGUUUGAUUUAAGAAAAUAAGUUUUUAAAAAAUGCAAUGGCAUAAGGCCAAAGUUUGUAAUUUGCAAAGGGUCUAUGUUUUAAAAAAAAGACAAGUACAAACAAAGAAGUGUUUUUCAAAGGAGGGAGAGAUUUUGAAAUUAAAGAGACGGGGAGGAGAUGAAGAGACUAAUCCUAAGCAUAAAUUUAAAAGUUAAGAGUUGAAAAGAUCUAACCAAUGGGCUGCAAUCCAAUAGACAAGAAUGUCAUAUAGAAACCCCAAAUUCCCUUGGACAUUAGAAUCAAGCAACAAACAAUGAAUACCAUAUUAACUUGAAGAGCAAAGCAUCAAAUGAAGAUAGCCACAUCCAGACUUUAGCCACUCCAUGAUCUUAUUCAAAUUUGCCCAUGUAACAGAUGAAUUCCAUAAGUCAUAGGUUCAAAGUAACAACUUCACAAUGAUCAUGUUGCAGAUGAACUCAAAGGGAUCUUCAAUGAUGUAUCAGAUGAAGUUUCAAAUUACAAGCACUUGGUUACAUGAAAGUUGGCAUUGGCCAAGUCCUUUGCAUAGGGAGUCUUGCCUAAAUUCUAAGUCCAAUUGUCUCAGAUCAAACCAACAGUCCACACAAGAAUUUUUUAGGGUUUUUGUUCUUAUUAUGUACAUUAAUGGUCAAAGACCACACAAGCAAACACAAUAUACACAAGCAAAAUAUAUCACAAAAUAUGGUCCAAAUGGACAAAGUGAAAAUGACAUUAACAUAAACAAUUAGGAUGGUAUGAAUAAUGGCAAAUGAACAAAGCUUAAAAAUAAAGUGCAUUAAAAGUAAAGGACUUGAAAUUAAAUGUUAGUUGUUAAUGAGUUAGAAGUUAGUAUUGCUUUUUCUUUUUUUGUUUAAGUCAUUCUUUGGAGAAUACUCAACCCGCUUAUCACAAGCAUGGAUCCUUCAACCAAGACGACUUCCAAAGGAAGGAAAAAAGGCCAAGUUUCCACAUAAUACCAUGAAAGAGGGGAGACUUACAAUCUCACUAACUAGAAUAUUAUGCCUUUUUGUAUCAAAAAUUUAGUGCUAUGUUAAGCAAUCGUAAUUGGACUUAUGUAGAAGUCACAACUAUUUGAGGUCGGAUAAUAGAAUUUUGGUGUUAAUGCAUGUUAGAGACAUAUUAUAAUGGACUAUGCUCAUGAAACAUACCACACACAAAAAGAAUAUGCAAAAGAGGUGGCCUAAUCUCAUCCAUACUUAUGUUGAUUUUUAAUCAACCAGCCUUAGGACCUUGAGAUAUCAUAGGACCAUGGUAUGAAUGCAUAAAGAAGGGGAAUAAGAUGAAGAGGGAGGGUAAUGGAUCAAAACUCAAAUUGGACAAAGGAGGAUUUUUACCAAAUUAAGAUCAUUCAUUCAUUUUGGGAGAUGGAAUGUACAUUCCAUCAAUCCCCUAAAUCCAAUGAUCUUAACCUAGCAAAGUCAAAUAAACCUUGACCUAGGCUCAACAACACAAGUCAAACUUAUACAAAUAAUCAAAAUGGCUUAACACAAUUAUUUGGCAUUUAUUCAAUUUAAAAAUUCUAAAAAUAAUGCAUUAAAUAAAAUAUGGUUUGUCAAAUUCCUAAAACCUCAUCAAAACACCAAGGAAAUGGCCAUGAGAUUUAUCAUAGGUCAAACAAAGUCAAAGGACCUUGGAGAAAAAAUUCAGAAUUUUUGGAGACUUAAAAGUAUUUUUCAACAAUUAAAAAUAUUCACAAAAUCAACUAAAUCAUGAAAAAUAUUAAUAAUGAUCCAAAAAAUAAUUUUAAUUCAAAAUAUGAAAGAGGAUUUUAUUUAAUUUUUUUUUGGUGAAACUCUCAUAUUUUUUGGAUCAAUAUUAAAACUAAUAUGAAUUAAUGAAAAUAAAACAAAUUAAAUGAAAUUCAAAUAAUCAGAAAAAAACGUGGACCACUUGAUCUCCCUUACCAAUUGAGGUGGGAGAUCAAGUGGUCUAAAACGCGCAUUCCACCAAACACACGAGUCAACGCGCCACACCAAUGGUAUUCAAAAGCAACGCUCAAGAUUAAAACGAUUUGAACUGAUCAUGUGGCUCAGAACCUAUCCAGCACACCACCGAUGCUGAAACUCCGGUCACCUUCUCAGGCGAGGCUCACCGGACUGGUUCAGUCAUCACCAUCACAUAAAUGAAAAAGGAGGACAUGAUCUGAAAGAAAAAAAGGCGUAGAGCACGAAUCUGACCUCAAUUUUAACUAACUCCACAUAUAUAGAAAGAUAUGAGGAAUUGAAUUUUGAGGUGUGUCAACUGAGUUGCUUCGAUUUGACCUCAAAGUAACUCAAUCUUCUUGCCUACAUUGGUAGGACUUCAGACUACCAAAGAUCCAAGAGAAUUGAUGAGAAUUGAGUGAGAAUCGAAGAGAAGAAAAUUUCUGAAAAAUACCUUCAAUGAUGUGCAGAACUGGAUCUUGCUUGCUUCAAACUUUGCUUGAUCACCUUCAGGAAGCUUGUAGAAGUGGCUUGGCAAUGGAACAAAGCUUUGGAUCCUGGAGUUUUUGAAUCUCCAAACAGUGAGAUUCUUGCUUGCUUCAAACUUUGCUUGAUCACCUUCAGGAAGCUUGUAGAAGUGGCUUGGCAAUGGAACAAAGCUUUGGAUCCUGGAGUUUUUGAAUCUCCAAACAGUGAGAUUCAAACUCAAUUUUUAGAUCGAAAAUUCUCAAGUUUUCCUUUGAAUUGUGAGGGUUUGAAAAGAGGGGGCAAAGCUGGCGCGCAAGGGAUCCUUCAAAUGAGCUCAGAGGCGUUGUAUUUAUAGCAUGAAGGAGUGAUAUUUGCACACUUCAAGUUUCCAAUUUUGGAAAUUGCAUGAUGCAAGCUUGCAUAGGCGUGUACAGGCCUAUGAAGCAAUCCAUUUAGGUUCAAAUUCAACUGUUUUGAAGUCUCAAAGAAGCUUGAAUAGCAAGACAAUGUGAAAUGGUGUUUUGGACAUUUGAUCUUUCCACUUGAUGCAGACCUGUUAAGAUCAUGUGCAGCCCUAGCAACCUCAUCCAAAAUGCAUGAAAUAGGACUAUUUGGAAAACUUAGAUCAAGGGGAACAACUUUGAUGUUGGACACUUUUCCAUUUGGAACUUGGAUCAAGGUGAAUUUUGAGGUGGAAGUUUGGAAAUUUCAACAUGUUGAAAUUUUUUUGAAGUGUCAAGUCAUAUACCUCAAUGUUCCAUCUUACUUAACUUUUCAUGUGAGCUCCAAAUUAAAAGCAUGUCUUCAUCAAAGUUUCAGGUCUUUCAAAGACCUUAAAAAUGGUCACCAAUUUCAUGUCAUUUGGAAAAUCACUUGUUCAAUGGUAUAGGGAAAAAAUGACCUAUAAUGUAUCCUCAUAUCAUAUGCUCAUAAAAGUUGAAUUAGCUCUCACUCCAAACAUAAAAGUUGAAUUAGCUCUCACUCCAAACAUAAAGUUGAAUUAGACAUCUUGAAUUUGAUUGUGCAACUUGGAAAUCUUUCAUAUCAUAAAAAUUGAGCAAGUUAUUACCUUGGGAAGUUGACUUUCAAAUUCGGGUUUAGACAAAAUGACUUAUAAUCUUUCUACAUAGAAAAUGAUUUUACAAGCAAAACUAGAUCUAGGUCUCAACAUGAAAGUUGUUUGUAAUGUCAUUCAGAGUAACUUUGCGCUUGGAAGAAUUUUCAUAUGGUGAAAAUUAUAGGAGAUAAUGUCAUUUAGAGUAACUUUGCUCUUUGCGUUUGUAAUGGUCUUACUCUAUAUCUGAAAAAUCCAUCCAUAAACGAAAAAACUUUGAAUUUAGCAGUAUUGUCUACCAACAUAUCAAUGUGUGGCAGAGGGAAAUCAUCUUUCGGGCUGACUUUAUUCAAACCUCUAUAAUCAACAAACAUGCGGACUUUUCCAUCUUUCUUUGGCACAUGCACAAUGUUGGCCACCCAUUGCGGAUACUCAGUGUUCACAAGGAAACCGACAUCAAUCUGCUUUUGCACUUCUUCUUUGACCUUCACUGCUAUGUCAGGAUGCAUUCUUCUCAACUUCUGCUCGACUGGCGGACAUUCUGGCUUCAACGACAAUCUAUGCUCCACAAUCUCAGAAUCCAAACCAGGCAUGUCUUGAUAGGACCAAGCAAACACAUCCGAGUACUCUCGAAGAAGAUCAACCAACCCCUUCUUCGCAUCUGGACACAGUCGAGACCCAAUAUUGACUUCCUUCACAUCAUCCUCGGAACCCAAGUUGACUAACUCAAUCUGCUCUUCGAAUGGCCGAAUGGCUUUUCCUUCAUGCUCAAGAAGACGAGACAAUUCAUCACUCACUUCUUCAUCACUUUCCUCCUCGGCCUCAAACACAGGGAAUUCAAAAUUUGGAGAAGGAGAAGGAUCAUUGUACUCAAUGAGGUUAGGAACCAACCUGCAUAAUGAUUUGAUAUUUUGAUUUUAGAGAAGUGAAUUUGUGACCAAACAUUAUGCAGAUGGACAAUUAUAUUGUUUAUUUAUGUUUUUUGUUAUUACCAUUUUCAGAAUAAAGCAAAAAGUAAAAAUAAAACAUCAUAGAUGUGAUUGAAUAGAAUUGAUUUUAUUGAUGAUCAAAUUUGAAAUGCCUAACAAUGUUCACUUACCCCUUAGACAUAGGAGAAGGAUUUUUAAAACAAAUAAAAACAAUUACUUAGAUCGAUGCAAACUAACAGGAAUAUCAACAACAAUCCAAUUGUUGCAAGCCUUUCCAUGCGUCACAAAAUUGGUGCAGUCAUCUUCAUCGUCAUCCUCUAGCACUGCAGCUAAGUGUUGUUCAUUUCCAUGAAUGAACCCUCCGCUACGGAAGCUAAGUUGCAUAUCCUCUGAUCUAGCAGUUGAUGGACCUUGUAGAAAACCCAUACCGAUUCUGCUCUUGUUGUCGGAGACCUCUACCAUGCGCCCCCCACUGAUCCACAUUACCUUCUUCAACAAUCUUCCUUGCAUCUUUCAAUGAGGACAUAGGUGCCCGAACUCUCUUUUCAACAGCAAUAGAUAAGGCUUGGAACAGAGUUCCAACCUCAUCCUCAGCUUCAACGUAAGAGAAAGAUGACAAGUGGCUAACCAACAACGCCUUUUCCACGCCAACAAUAAUAAGCUUCCCAUUUUUGACAAAUUUGAGUUUCUGAUCCAACGUGGAAGUAACAACUCCUGCCUCAUGAAUCCAUGGCCUUCCCAAUAGACAACUGUAGGUCGGGUGGAUAUCCAUUACUUGAAAAGUAAUCUGGAAGUCACUCGGGCCUAUCUUCACCGAAAGGUCCACUUCACCUAUCAUUGUCUUGCGUGAACCGUUAAAAGCUUUGACGGUUACACCACUAUACCUCAUAGGAGCUCCUUGAUAUGACAGCUUUGAAAGAGUUAACUUUGGCAGCACAUUCAAUGAAGACUUGGUGUCAACUAAUACAUUGGAUAAAGCGUCAUCUUUGCAAUUCAUGGAGAUAUGCAAAGCCAAGUUAUGAUUACUACCCUCCUCAGGGAGUUCUUCAUCAUAGAAGUUGAGAUUUUUGCAGGAAGUGAUGUUAGCUACAAUAUGAUCAAACUGAUCCACCGUAACAUCAUGUUCCAUGAAAGCUUGCUUUAGAACUCUUUGUAGUACUUCUCUGUGCGCUUCUGAAUUCAUAAGCAGAGACAAUACUGAAAUCUUUGAGGGGGUUUGGAGCAACUGCUCCAUCAUGUUGAACUCACUUUUCUUUAUCAGCCUAAGUACCUCAUCAUCAUCAUUAGUUUUCAAAUUGAUGGAUUCACCAGACUGACGCUUUAAAGUGCUAAUCAGAUCUACUUUAGGUACUUCCACCUUCUUACCAAUUGUUGAAUCUUCUACAUCUUUUGGGAACACCGACCCAAACACUCGACCGCUACGGGUCACCUUAGUAACAUCAACAAUACUCACGACAAAACUGGUUGUAGGUAACGGUACCUCUUGACCAUCCUUCAACAUAGUUGCAUUAUACUGAUACGGAACAGCCUUAUCGGAUGAAUACGGGACUGGGCCCAUUAACCGUAUGACCAACGGCGAUACCGAUCUUUGACUGAUAUUAUUACUGUUACUGCUGUCAUACUGAAUCACCAUUCUCUCGGGAUUCUUAAACACUGGAACGAUCACAUUCACAUCAUCAUCUUCAUGACGGGAUUGAACAAUCUGAACCAUACCCUCAUCCAUCAACCGCUGGAUGUCUCUUUUCACAAUCAUACAACCCCUCGGGUUGAAACUGCAGAUAGCACAACCAUCAUGGUCACGCUCACAAUCGCUUACCAUAGAAAUGUGCUUAUAUAUUGUUACUAAAGAUCUUCUAAUGAAAUGGACAUCAAACAUUUUGAACUCCCCAGAACAGUCGUCUACCAUAUUGAAGCAAGCAGAAAUAUACCCGAACGUAUUGCACCCUCGAACAUACAACAGAGUCGCCAUCGAACUUUAUUUAUCCCCAAAGGGAAGGGAAACAUCGAAAAAACCCGGGGGAAAGAGAUAUACUGGGUAAGGAAGUCGGUUAUGCAAGGAGAAGGUAUUAGCACCCCAAACAUCCAUGGUACUCCAUGGGAACCUUUUUGAUUGUUCUUGCUCAAAUAGGUGUGAUAUCUAAAGAUUACUCGCAAAAGAAUAAGGGGAAAGGAAAGGAAAUAGAUAGAGUGCUCGGUGAGGAUUAGGGACCUCAUGCCUACGUAUCCUCAUAAUGCAAUAAGGAAUUCAGAGCUUCGUAGUUCAAGGAACUAGAGGAAGGAGGUGAAAAGGAGUGUGAUCAAGGUAUGGUUUGAGCCAAAGGAUAAUUUUGUUUGAACUCCAAGAGAGGGUGAAAACGUGAACCCAAGAGUAAACAAGUUGUUUGAACCAACAAGUGAGGGUGUAGAGCACUUAUAUCACUAUAUUGGAACAACCGAAAAGAGAGGAAUUAGGUGUUUGGGGUGAGAGCCAAACAACUCUUGGUUCACAAGGAGGUACAAGAUGGAGCACAAAAGUAUAUUGUAUUUGGCUCAAAGAAUAGGUAUAUCACGUGGAGUGAAAGAAGGUAGUAUAUGAAUGUAUCAUGGGAUGAACGAAAUGAAGUGACCGAAGUCAUAGAAUAGAGUAUCUGGUAACAAGUGAUGAAGAAAUAUUGUUUGAAAUCAAAAGGUGAAAAUGUAUUGGAAUCCAUAAGAGAAGUGAGAUUUCUACCAUAGAUGGAAACAUCAUUAACCGAUACGUGGACUAGCAGGCCGCCACUGUAAGGUUUUGGCCAAAAAGAAGGAAUUAAAUGUUUGGGAUGGGAGCCAAACAACUCUAGGUAUGAAAUUAAGACUAUUCAUUAGGCGUCCUAAAAGGGUAUGUGUGGAAUUCCAAGGAAAGUGUAUUUCGAUGUCAAAGAGACAGUAUGUCACUGGGCGAACGGUUCAUGAUCGAAGGUAGAUAAUGAAUAGUGAAAGAUAUGAGUGGUGCCCUAAGGCGGAAGAGGAAUAAUUAGAAGUAUUCUCGCAGAGGAUUCGCAUCCUCGUGCCUACGUAUUCUUAUUGUGAAAUGAGAAAAUCAGAGCAAUCGUAGUUCGAAACUACGAGAAUAGAGAGAAAGAGAUGUUUGUCUAAGCAACAGGGACUCACAAGAAAAACACACAAGGGAGGAUUGCAGUACUAGAAUGCAUGGAGUAGUGUAUCACUUGCUGGGGGAAUCGACAAUUCAAGAUUAAAUCAGUAUAGUAUCUUGGAUCCAUGAGACGUAUAGACUCUUAAUCGAAGAGCAAAGUGGCGUGUUAGCCAAAGAAGAAUGAAUUGAAUGUUUGGGAUGAGAGCCAAACAAGAAAGAAUUGAAUGUUUGGGAUGAGAGCCAAACAAGAAAGAAUUGAAUGUUUGGGAUAAGAGCCAAACAAGAAUGAAUUUAGCAUUUGGGAUAAGAGCUAAACAACUUUCGAUUGAAGAGAUGGAUUGUCAUCAGGAUGUCCUAAAAGGAUGGACAAGGAGUCCAAGGAGAAGUAUGAUUGAUCUCGAAAGAUGGUAUUGGUUGUGUGAAUGGAGAGUGAUCCAUGGGAUAAAGAAGGUAUAUUGAUAAAUAAGAUAGCCCGCGAAGAAACCGGGUUCUCCUGCCUACGUACCCUUAUAGUGCAAUAAGGAUAUCAGAGCUUUCGUAGUUCAGCCCAUUAGGGCUGAAAAGAAAUUGAUUGGAAGCAAGAGGAAAUGGAUGAUUGAGAUUGAAAUGAUUUGAAUGAAAUGAUGAAAAUCGAAUGGAAUGAAGAAUGGAUAGACUUGAUAGUUACUGGAUGAUGAGAAUCACACUAACUUUCAAGUGGAGCGAAAAGAGUCUUUGUAGUUGUUUCUUGAAUGGAAGAUGAAGACCUUAUCAAUGGUUCGAUUCAAAUCGUAAUAAAGUCUAUGAAUGGAGGUGAAUACGAUGAGCGCUGGGUCAUACGUCCCAUACCCAAAGAUACUCAGAAUGGGGGUAGGAAUACUCCAGUCUCACUCCUUCUCCAUUACUUAAGGCUCAUAUCGUACAACUUGAUUCAUGAUUGAUAAGUUGUUGAAGUGGUCCUUGCUUUUUGUGGUUUUUGCUUUGUGAAGAUAGACUUGUCAAUUGUAUGAUUAGAAUUGUCCUAAAGUCUAUGAAUAGAGGUGAAUACGAUGAGUGUUGGAUCAUACGUCCCAUACCCAAAGAUACUCAAAAUGGGGGUAGGAAUACUCCAGUCCCACUCCUUCUCUAUUGCUUAAGGCUCGUGUCACACUCUUCUAAGUUUGAGUUAACAAGUGUUGAAGACGCCGCCUUUGAUGUGCUUGAAUAAGUUGAAGAUGCCACCUUUGAUGUGCUUGAAUAAUCUGCUGCUCGAUAUAAUUGAGGAUGCCUUGAUUGAAGAUCUUAACCUGAGGCCUUGAGCUCCACAGCUUUGAAGAAAAGUCUUAUUAAGUGACCAAGGGUCUUUUUGGUCACUCAAAUUAGACUGUGGGAUUAUACAAGUUCAAAGUAUUUAAUUAAUCAAAAUUGCUUUUGAUCAAUUUAAUCAUGGGUUUUUAUUUGGUUUUGUGGGGAACUAGGUUAGGAUCUAGUUAAAGUUUGUAAUUGUUGGAAACUAUCCUGAGGGAUCAUGCAUUAGAAGAUGAUUGAACAUUCUAAGUUAGAAGUUAGAAAUCCUAAGGGAGCAUGUCAAAAUAUUGAUUAAAAGGCUUAUGUUAAGUCCUACAAUUAUUGGGAAAUGAUUGAAUUCUAAUCCUAAGGGGAGCAUGCAAUUUUAACAUAAAAAUACCAAAAUAAGCCCAAAAGGGGCAAAUUGAUCAUUUACUAAAAUAUGUCUAAUUUUAUUCACGGCCUAAAAGGGAUUCUGACCUAAAGUUGAAUUCUAAUCCUAAUGUUGAGAAUAGUGACAUUCUAAAUUUAAGCAAACAUAAUUGUUUCUAAUUUCAAUCUAAUUAAAAAUCCCAAUUAAAUUCUAAUGAAAAAUCCUAAAAUGUGAACUAAUCCUAAUUAAAAUUCUAAAAUAUGAAUUAAUCCUAAUUAAAUUCUAAAGUGUGAAUUAAUCCUAAUUAGGUCCACAAAUCUUAAAAUCCAGAUUUAAAUCCUAAUUUUCAAUUAUCAAUCUAAUUAAACUAAUAUUAACCUAAUUAAUCUAACCUAAUUGAAAAAAAACUAAGAAAAUGAAAGAAAAAAAAAAGCAAUUAAAAGGGAGGUUGGAAUUGGAAAUGGAGGUGCAUAGUGGAUUCUAGUUAAUGGGUUGCAAGUGAGCCCAAUACAGUUUUUUGUUCAGAAAAUUAAUCAAAAACAAAGGUGGGGUGUGAAAUAAAAACAGAAGUGGGCUGCGUCUGAGCCCAUUACCAUUUCAAUCGUUUAAAGGGGGGUGCAUGUUGGAAAUGUGAGGUGAAUUAGAAAAAUAGGCUAAUGGGCUUGGUUGAGCCCAAGAUUCAUUUCCUUCACUAAUCAGGGGGGUGUAUGAAUGAUGUGUGGCGUAUGAAGAGCAAUUCCAAUGGGCCUUAAGGAAAAUGAGCCCAGUACUAUCACCUUUGUUUACUUGUCUAAGUCAACAGAGUUUAAACUCUGACUGCGCGAGCUCGUGGUUCACCGUCCGUUCAUUAUGGUCACCGUGCCGGCGUGUGUCACUGGCUCCGGUAUUGGCUCAUGGUCAAAAUUUACGUCUCAAUCGAAGCACAAAGCCAAGCUGAUCAUGAAUAUGGCAAUGAAAUGGGAAAACACUUCUUGUGUUGGUCGAAUCGCACAUCUAAAGGGAUGAAGCCUAGCCGAUUGCAAGCUAAAUUAAAUAGUGUAUGGCGCCAAUCAAUCCCUACAACUAUGGGGUUUCCACUCCCUACUUCAGAUACUACAACUUGGUAAGCUCAAAACAAGAAAAUGCCACUGAAAUGGAAAUGACAUAUCGGAGAAGAUGAUCGGAAGAUUUGCUGGUAAGCUUUCUGACCUUGAUUCUCUUUUCUUCUUCUUCUUUCGCCUUCUUCCUCUUCUUUUGGAUUAGAACAAAUGGAAAAUAUGAAUGUUGUGCCUUAGCUCAAGGGAAAUUGACGCUUCAAGGUGAAGCUUCAAUGGCUUUUCUGUGAGAGAGUGAGAGAGCUUUGGUGAGGGUGAUGGAAGAGAUUGUAGAGAGAGCGUGCACAAAUUCACAAGGUUCCAAAGGUCCUUAAAGUGAGAGAGAUGAAUCUCUUAAAUAGAUUUUUGGUUCGGACCUCACUAGCUUUGGACUUAGGUAUGGAAUUAGUUAAACAUGGUUUGGAGUUAGUUGGACUCAACUCACUGAGUUAACUGAAAUACUCAGUUAGUUAGAAACGACUCAGUUAGUUAUGUGAGUUGAUGUUGGUUAGUGAGUGAAUGAAUUAAAAUUUGACUGGAUGCUGCAGGUUAUGGUUAAGUUGCAGUUAUGUUGCGAUCAUUUUGGGUGACAUGUUAUUCAAGUUACAAAUUGAGUUUAAGUGACCCUGGCCUUAGCUUGGAAUAAUGAAGAAUACAUGUUAGUAGCUUUGGUGCACCAACUGGCUGUAGUAUGUAGCAUUAGAAUUAGGAUUAGCUAAAUGCAAGUGUGUUUUGGUUUGUACUUUGAAAGAUGAAUGUGAUCCUUGGUUCCUGAUUUGGUUUAAUGCUUCAUGAGUUUAAUUUCCACUAAUUGUAUUCAAUGCCCUGUUCUCAUUGGUCUUUCUUGUUGCAGCCUAAACUUGGUUGGGUCUUGCAAUGCCAUGUUGGAUCUUUGGUCAGUUUAGCAGGUGGCAAGUAUGGCUUUUAUAUGCAAAGCUCCUAUUGGUUUUGGCCUCUGCAAGACACAGUCUCCAUUCAGGUUUUGAUUUGCAGCAUUGUGGCCUUGGUGUCUAUUGCAACAACUUGGGUUUGAAUCAGGCUUGCGUUGCAGGUUUGGUCAUGCAUUACUGGUGCAGGUCCUUGGAACUUGAACAUGUUGCAUGUCUAGUACAUGACUCAUGGCUUGGUACAUUGAAGGAUUGCAGCGAGGUUGCGUGCCUGUAAGCAUUUGGCUUAGGUUUCAAAGCAUUGUAGCAAGCAAUCCAAAGGUCAGCUGACAGUUGAAUUGGCUAUGUUACAGGCAUGUGUGUUAGGUUCAUUAUGCAAAGUUUCAAUUCAUGUAUCAUGACUGAGUUGUUUGAAUGGAUUCCCCUGCAAGUUGUUUUGGUCUUGGUGUUUGUUGAUGAUGGCAAGAGUGUAUCAUAUGGCAAGGCUAUUGUAGCAGUAGGCUCUUGUGGAUUUGCAACAGGUAUGAGGAUCAUGAUGGUUUGGUGUUGUAAGGUUGUUGGCAUGAAGCUUCUUGGUAUGGCUUGUUAAUAACUUGGUCUAUUGUUGCUUCCAGCAAGUCAACCGGUUUAGGUUUCCAAUGCCUUGCAAUUCAUCUGUCUCGAUUCUUUUUGUUGCACUUCAAAAUGUGGUGUAUGGCAUCAGGGUUUGGCUGCAACCAUUUGAUGUUGGCUUACUUGUGGUCUUGGUUAAACCAAGUGUAGAAUGCCUAAUGGACAACCUACCCAACUCCAAACAUGUUGAAUAUCCAUUGUAUGCCUGCUGCAGGAUUUGGUGUAAGUUAUUGCCAUGUUUCACAAGCUACCUCAUGCAGGUUUUAUGCUUGAUGGCUUGGCUGAGCAAGGUAAAACAAGUCUUAAAUGGUUUGUAAGGCUUGAGAUAUGUUUAAUGUCAUGCUGUUUGUUAUGCCAUGAUGUUUCUCAAUGGUUUUGACAUGCCAUGAUUGGGGUUGGUUAUGUUGAUACUGCAGGCAGGGCAAGGUGCUGCAGGACAUGGGAUGAACUGCUGCAACAACAGGGUUAGCCUUGAUGCUCCCAUGGUUUGAUCAUGCAUUCCCAUGAUUUGAUGUAUAAGGUUUUUGUUUCAUUACACUGGUUCCAUAACCUUGUAGCAGGUCUGAGUUUAUGUGGCAGGCUCAAUAGUUCAUUUUUGACUUGGUGUUUUGUAGGUUUGUGGAAAUGGACAUGAUAUUUGCAAGGUUACUUGUGAAUGAAGCAACAAGGUAAAUGCAAGAAAUCAUGGCCUUUGGAUGGUGAAUCAAGACCAAUGUGAUGUGAUUAGGAUUAGGUUUGGGAAAUUAGGGCUUUAAGAUUUUAGGGUUGACUUUGGUCAAAGUUGACCAAAAAGUCAAAUGUUGACCAAAGGCAACAAUUGGUCAAAAUCCCAUUUUCUUUGCAUUUUCUUUGUAAAUGGACAAUGAAUUAUUGGUUAGGGUGAAAUUUAGGGGUUUUUGGACUUUGGGUUGACUUUGGUCAAAGUUGACCAAGAAGUCAACUGUUGACCAAAGUCAACAUUUGGUCAAAAGUGUCAAGACUUGUAUUUUCUUAUGUUGAAUCAAAUGUAAUGGUUUAAAAUGACAUGAAAUGGAUUGAAAUGGUUUGAAAUUGGUUUAUUUUAUGACUUGACUUUUGAAAAAUAACUUGACUGAUAAUGUACAUGAACAAAGCCAUCAAGUGAGACCAUAAGAUUAGGGUUUUGACAUAGUGUCCAUGUAACAAUGGCAUGACCACCAAAAGGCUUGAAACACAAGGAAUUUGGAUAUUCAUAUGAUAAGGACCAAAGGCAUAUCCCCAACCAUAUGGAUAAAAUCAUUGACUUGGGACCAAGACCAGUACUCCAGGAAGGGUAAGGCCAAGCAAAAAUUAUAAAGGGUAAAGAUUGAAGGAUCAUAAGUACACAAUAAGGCCACCAAGUUCAUCUGAUUCCCAUAUUCUGAUUAGGGUUUUGGAGACCAAGAUAAGGCUUGGGUGGAGCCCCAUGAAGCCAUUCCUUGAGGAAUUAGGGCUUUGAAGGCCCUAGACUGUCUGGCCCACCUUUGUUGAAAUCAAACCUUCACCACCAUCAUUAGGGUUUCACAUCCCCUAUGCUGAUGAUGUGAUUAGACCAUGCCCUUGAUCUUUGAUAUCCGUGCAAACCCUAGCUUUAUGAGCCCAAGUUUCUUAUGAGUCCCUGAUGAAUGAUGCAUGUGGAUGAGUUAUGAAUGUAUACAAGUCAUCUCCUAAUCAAGUGAUUGGAUGCAUAGGUGAGAAAGGGGAAGGAAAAUUUAGGGGUACAACAGCUGCCCCUAUUUAAUCUCCUUGGACCUAAAUACAGGAAUUGCAGAAGCUUUUCAGGUAUUCAAGGUAGAAGUGGAUUAAAUAUCUACGUGCCCGAAAUUUGCCGGACCAGGUGAUUGGCUUUAUUACCAAUGUGGAGAAGAUGUUUUAUGCAUGAUGUAUGCUUAUUUUUUAUGAUGCAUGUUUUUUUCCUUAUUUGUCGUAUGUAGGGAUGAGUCUUUAUUGUGGUGUGAACUCCGACUCGUCAUUGAGAAUUAGAACAUGAUUACCGAGAAGUUUUAAUUGCUGCGAAUGCUGCCAUUACGGGAUCCCCGUCUAUUAAGGAAUACUGAAAGGCUAGAGUCCCCCACGGUGUCCCAGCUGAUUGAAUGUCACAGUUAUCCAAGUAACACCACUGUUGAGUCACCGAUCACCUAUCAGGUUUAUCGGGUUUCAACGGUAAUGCAAAGUGUUUGUCUUUAAUGUAGCUUUUUAUUAUUCCCUGGAAUUUUAAAGCAUUAUGAGAGUAAGACAAGCCAGUUACUUUGCAUACAAAACAUAGAAUAAAUACGUUCGAUGGAAUAACUGAAUUUUAUUGAUAUAGAAUCUGUACAUAUGAUGAGAACAAAGAUGCAGGCGCCCUUAAUGAGGACGUUGCAAAAAUUGAAAAAAUAAUUGAAAUGGCAAUAGGAAAUAUUUUUGUAUGAUUUUCUCCAUUGAUUACAACGUUGGCCUUAGUCUACCAUAUAAUCUGAAUCCCAAGAUCUUGCUUCGGCUGACGGUGAUUGGAUCGGUCCUUGACCCUCUGACAUCUAGCUUGUAGCAUGUAGACUUAAGGAUCGUAGCCAAUGCCUUUAUCCCUAACUUUUUCCUGGAUCUUUCAAUUAUUUUUGUCCAUCGGGAUGCUCCUUUUUGCCUAAGCCGCCCUUUCGAGUUUUCGGCUUAGCGAGGUUAAUAUGUGUUCCCUAACUUUUGCAUGGACGAAUCAUUUUUUGGUCUAUCGGGAUAGCCAUUUUUGCCUAGAUUCACCUUGCAGAGAUUAAUCUAGCGGACUUUCAUCAUUUCUUUUUAGGCAUAAUAUAUUUUGACUAUGUCUGCAUUCACUAGCGAAGGCAGAUCUUCCCCAUCCAUUAUUGUGAGGAUUAGAGACCCACCUGAGAAGGCCUUUUUGGCCACGAAAGGUCCCUCAUAGUUGGGCGUCCAUUUGCCUCGCGGGUCUGAGUGAAUGGCAGAAUACCUCUUGAGCACGAGGUCUCCAACGUGGUACGCACGAGGAAGAACCUUCUCAUCAAAAGCUUGUUUGAGACGUCUUUGGUAUAACUGACCAUGACAGACGACUGUCAAACGCUUCUCUUCAAUUAGAUUCAGCUGGUCAUACCGAGAUUGAGCCCAUUCAGCUUCAUUAAGAUCUGCUUCCAUGAUGACCCUGAGUGAAGGAAUCUCGACUUCGAUCGGUAGAACGACCUCCAUUCCAUAAACUAGAGAGUAAGGAGUUGCCCCAUGGAUGUGCAGACUGAGGUUCUGUAACCGUGUAAAGCGAAAGGUAACAUCUCAUGCCAGUCCUUGUAUGUCUUGACCAUCUUCUGGACGAUUCUCUUGAUAUUUUUGUUAGCUGCUUCUACGACGCCAUUCAUCUUAGGCCGAUAUGGUAAAGAGUUGUGGUACUCGAUCUUAAAUUCUUCACACAACUCCCUCAUCAUAGUGUUAUUGAGGUUACUGGCAUUGUCAAUGAUGAUCUUGCUAGGUAUUCCAUAGCGGUAAAUUAUCUCUUUCUUGAUAAACCGGGUAACCACUUGUCGAGUGACAUUAGCAUAUGAAGCAGCCUCAACCCAUUUCGUGAAGUAAUCAAUAGCGACUAGGAUGAAUCGAUGUCCAUUGGAAGCUUUGGGCUCUAUCAUCCCAAUCAUAUCGAUGCCCCACAUAGAAAAGGGCCAUGGAGACGUUAGAACAUUUAACGGAGUUGGUGGCACAAAUAUUUUAUCACCAUAUAUCUAGAACUUAUGGCAUCUUUUCACAAAGUUAUAGCAAUCAACCUCCAUUGUCGUCCAAAAAUAACCAGCCCGGAGAAUCUUCUUGGCCAUAGCAGGACCUUUCGCAUGUACACCCUCGCAGCCCUCGUGUAUCGACCUUAUGAUUGUACUAGCUUCGUGUCUAUCCAUGCAUCUGAGCAGUACAAAAUCAUAAUUCCUUUUAUACAACACAUCACUGUUUAGGAAGAACUUAGAAGAGAGUCUUCUUAGAGCCUUCUUAUUGGUAAUGGAUAUACCCUCGGGAUACUACUACUUUUCCAGAAAUGUUUUAAUGUCAUAGAACCAAGGCUUGUCGUCAGGGUCAGCCUCAAUUGUUAGACAAUGUGAUGGUUCAUCUAAGUGGUCAAUCUGGAUAGAUGGUGCUUCAUUCUUCCAUUUGACUUUGAACAUAGAUGCUAGCGUGGCUAGGGUGUAUGCUAACUGAUUUUCUUCCCUAGAAAUAUGGUGAAAGGAGAUUUCAUCAAAAUAGGGUAUCAGUUUUCUGAUGUGCUCUUUGUAGGGUACCAACGUGCUAUCCCAAGUCUCCCAAUCGCCUUUCACCUGAAUGAUCACCAAAGCUGAAUCACUGAAUACCUCAAGUAUUUUGAUUCUCAAGUCAAUUGCCGCCUCUAAACCGUAGAUACAUGCUUCAUAUUUUGCCAUGUUGUUGGUGCAGUCAAAACACAGUCUAGUGGUAAAGGGAAUGUAGAAACCAGUUAGAGAGGUGAUAACAACACCUAUGUCGUGACCUCGGGCAUCGAAAGCACCGUCAAACACGAGCGUCCAUCGCGAUCCUGGUUCGGGGCCUUCCUCAGGGCUUACCUCGAAGCCUGGCAUAGUAAAGUCUAUGAUAAACAUGAUGUCUUCAUCUGGGAAGUCAAACCUCAACGGUUGAUAACCUUCGAUAGGAAGGUGAGCGAGAUAGUCAUACAAAACACUUCUUUUUAUUGCUUUCUGGGUCACAUAUUGUAUAUCAUACUCGGUUAGCAACAUUUUCCACCGGGAAAUUCUACGAGUAACAGCAGGCUUUUCGAAUAUAUACUUUAUCGGAUCCAUCUUGGAUAUCAAUAAAAUAGUGUCGCAAAUCAUAUAUUGUCUCAGGCGUCGAGCAUCCCAAGUCAAAGCACACCAAGUCUUCUCUAAAAGUGAGUAUCGGGUCUCACAUUCAGUGAAUUUAUUGCUGAGAUAGUAGAUAGCAUGUUCUUUCUUGCCUGUGUCAUCGUGUUGACCCAAAACGCAAGCCAUAGAUUCAUCAAGCACUGUGAGGUACAUAAUGAGUGGUCUACCAGGAACCGGUGGUACCAAGAUUGGUGGUUCUUGCAAGUACUUUUUUAUUUUAUCAAAUGCCCCUUGGCAAUCGUUGUUCCACACAAUCGAUUGGUUCUUUCUCAACAAUUUGAAUAUCGGUUCGCAGGUAGCCGUCAGGUGAGAUAUAAAUCUGGAGAUGUAAUUAAGUCGCCCAAGGAAGCCUCAGACUUCUUUUUCUGUUUGGGGAGCUGGCAUAUCUUAGAUGGCUCGAACUUUGUCGGGAUCAACUUCGAUACCCUUCUGACUGACUAUGAAACCCAAAAGUUUACUUGAUCGGACCCCAAAAGUACAUUUUUCUUGACUCAGACGCAGUUUAAACUUUCGGAGUCUGACCAACAACUUCCUCAGAUUUACUAGAUGAUCUUCCUCAGUUCUGGAUUUGGCAAUCAUGUCGUCCACAUAAACCUCAAUCUCUUCAUGAAUCAUGUCGUGAAAGAGUGUUACCAUGGCGCGCUGAUAUGUUGCCCCUGCAUUCUUCAAGCCGAAUGGCAUGACUUUGUAGCAGUAAGUUCCCUAAGGUGUGAUAAAAGUCGUCUUCUCCAUAUCGUCUGGUGAUAUCUUUAUUUGAUUGUACCCAGAGAACCCAUCCAUGAAAGAAAAGAUGGAGAAUUGAGUUGUGUUGUCGACCAAAACAUCAGUAUGAGGCAAAGGGAAGUCAUCCUUUGGGCUGGCUCUAUUGAGGUCUCGAUAGUCUACACACAUUAUGACUUUACCAUCGUUCUUCGGAACUGGAACGAUAUUGGCAACCCACUGCGGAUACUCAGAAUGGCUAAGAAGCCAUCAUCUAGCUGCUUUUUAACCUGUUCCCUGAUCUUGAGCGCCAUAUCGGGUCUGGUCCUUUUGAGCUUCUGCUUGACUGGACGACAUUCGGGCUUGAGCGGUAGGUGAUGUUCAACAAUGUUGGUAUCUAACCCCGGCAUAUCUUGAUACGACCAAGCGAAGACGUCAACAUAUUCACGUAACAAUUCUACCAACUCGGAGUGUACAUGCUUGGCAAGAGAUGCCCCAACUUUUACCUCUUUUUUGUCAGUUUCAGAACCCAUACCAAGCGAAGACGUCAACAUAUUCACGUAACAAUUCUACCAACUCGGAGUGUACAUGCUUGGCAAGAGAUGCCCCAACUUUUACCUCUUUUUUGUCAGUUUCAGAACCCAAGUUAAUGACAUCCACCAGUUCUUUGUAUGGCUGAAUCUCUUUCUCUUCGUGCUCAAGGAGUCGUGCUAGUUCAGCUGGUAAUUCACAAUCUUCCUCACUGUCGUCUUCAGCUUGGUUGAUUGGAUGUUCAGAUUCAUAGUUGAUUUUAGCCAUGUCGUAAUCAAUGGUUUAAUUUUCUCUACAUAUGAUGAGCUUAUUUUAGUAUGCUUCUUUUUUGAGAAAAUAUGGAAAAAAGAAAAAGAAAUCUUUUUCCAUAUCGUUGUUUUUAGUGAAAACGGAAAAUAACUGAAAGAAAGGGAAGACCAGUUUUGCAUGCAAAAAAGUACUUUUUAUUUAUUCACAUAAUACUUUUAAACAUGAGGGCCCUUACAAGCUAUCCUCUCAUCUCGGGCGAGGACGAGGGAUGGAGAAAACAAAAUGCAUUACAUUUUCCGAGUACACCAUAGGGAUCACGGUGGUUGUCCAAUUAGGAAGCUUGAAUCCUGGAGGACAUCUGCGAACGAGGUUGGGUGCCCCUAGCUUGUUACCACUGGAUUCUCCGAUAACCGCCAUGGUAUGCUCACUUUGAUAACCGACACUGCUGAACUUGACAGGGUUGAAUUGCUUUUUCUUCGGACGCACCUUGCGUGGUGCUGGGUGAUAACCGAUACCAAACCUGUCGUGCUUUUCUGCCACAUUGACGACCUUACCCCAAUCGGGAAGCGGGCCUUUCUCCAAUGUCUGCUUGACACUCUUCACUGAGGAUAGGAUGGUAGAGGAUGAUUGAUUGUUGUUGGCGGUGGCGGAACUGACAUCUUCAAAUUCUAGACAGUGGACUGGAACCACGACGAUCCCCUCAAAUUGGUCGACCGUGAUAUCUUGCAUCACGUGAGCGGUAUUUAGAACUUUCAGUAACGCUUUACGGUGAGCCUCCGAACUCAACAGCAAAUAAAAAAUUGAUAUUUUGGAAGGCGUUUGGUUCAACUGCUCAAUAAUCUUGAAGUCACUCUUCUUGAUCAGUUUGAGGAUUUCCUGACUUUCCUCAAACGUGAUACUUUUCUUGUGAUCCUCAGAUUGUUCUUUCUCAACCAUCGCCCCUUUACCCUUGGAUGCUUCGGCCUCGGCAGCUUUAUCAUUGUCAAUAACCUUCGUCAACACUAGAGCAGUCGUCACAGUCGGAGUGGCGAGUAUAGUUGCCCCUGCCUGUGGAGUCGGCGUAGGAGUUUCCUUCUCUUUAGGCGAGAUAACUACAGGUGCUGGAGACACCCUAGGAGUGUAUUUAGGAGUGAAUACACAGACGCUUCGAGUCAUGCCUCCCGCUCCAGCGAUGUUGACGAUUUCUGUAUCAGGAAUGCAGAUUUAUUUUCCUCCAAAAUACGUUGUGGUCUCAUAAUUCCAAGGUACUGCCUUAGUAUUCUGAUACGGAAACGGAGUUGGAACGCAGAAGUGAAUCGGCUGAAUCCUCUUGGGAGGAGCUUCAACCUUCUUUUUCCAAUAUACAAUUGUUAUUGGUUCAAUCACUUCCACUUCUUCUGCUGCUUGAGAUUUGGAGAACAAUAUUAACCCUUGAUCCAUCAGUGCAUGCACGCACCCUUUCAACUGCUCGCAAUUAUCUGGAUCGAACUCGCAUAUUAUGUGUAGAUGUUUGAUUGGCUGCAUUUUAUGUUAAAACACUAACUAUACUCUGAUAUCUUGACUGAUGUCAUGACAUGCUUUGUAGAUGUUUGAUUGGCUGCAUCCUGUGUUAAAACACUAACUGUACUCUGAUGUCUUAAAUGAUGUCAUGACAUACUUGAGUAGUAUGCUGCAGGUUUAGCUAAUACAGGAUUUACUGAAUGUCAAACUAGAUGUUAUGACAUUCUUCCAUGACAGUAAAUACUGAACUAUAGAAUAGUUGGUUUUUCUGUUAUAGCUCAGUAUUGAGUUCAGUCUGUGUUUCAGGAAAAUAACAGACCUAGCAUAUUGCCUAUGUUCUGGACGUCAAACUGAAUGUUAUGACAUUCAUUCCUGACAGCAUAUGCUAAAGUGGAGGAUGGUUAGUUUUUCUGUUUCAGUAUUUUUCUCAGGCUAUUUUUCAGGAAUCCAACAGCUGAGCUAAAAUCCAGGAAACUAACAACUAAGCUACAAUUAAUGGACCUAACAAAUAGGCCUAAUAUGUGUAGCACCCUUUAUAUGUGGAAAUUAGGUUAACUUGCUUAACCUAUUUUUAGGAAAUACAAGUACAAGGCCCAAGUGCUGCAUAUAAAAGGAUGGCAAUCCUAUUUCAGAACUUAUGGGCGUUUUUAGCGUGAAGCAUUCAUUGUUCCAUUAUACUUCACUGCUGUAGUUUUAUGUGUGUCUUGUAUUAGGUGUAACUUGUGAGCCCAAAAAUAUCACCUAGAUGAUUGCAUUGGACUAGGGUGUCAUUGAGUUGUAAGUGUUGUUCACUCUAAGCUUUUAAGCGUGAGUGUUAUGUUUCUUGAUUAAAGCUGUUAAGACCACAAUCAGAUUGGUUGAAGUAUACUUCACCAUUGUCUUUAAAACUUUAAUUAAGGUUGUCAAUCACUGAGGUGAUUGAGGGAGAUGAGUGAGAGAACUCUGGUUUAGUUUAAGAUUGAAAUGGCAUUGGUAGGUAUUAAGUAGAUAGGAUUAAACAAGUGGUUUAAGGCCUGAAUAAAUACUGCUAAAGUGGAAUUUCCUCCCUGGUGGUAGCCCCAGACGUAGGUGUGGUGACACGGACUGCGGUAAACAAUUCCUUGUGUUAUUUACUGCACUUUACAUUUACCUGCUAUAUAAUUCCUGUCUGCGCAGAAUAGAUGUCAUAACAUCCAGUGUGACAUCGAAAGUCGUUAACAAGAUUUCAAUUUGCAUCAGAGCAGGCACCCUGGCCUGGUUAAUUUUCUGCGGUGACAUCUAGGGACGUUACUUUCUAUACCAUGCGACAAGGAUGUAGGAUACUCAAAUGACCACCAUGCUGGACUGGCUAACUAUGAUGACUGGAAACCUCGUAUGAUAGCCUCUUGAGUCUCUAGAUAGCAAGGUCUGGAGAGAUGUCAACAAAAGGUGGGAACAUCCAACGAAGACAGGUAAGAUGGAAUCAUUAUGCAAAUUCCUGAAGAAGAGUGGGACAAGGAGCAAGAGCAUUAGCCCUGGAAAAUUCUAAGCCUGAAUGCACUGUUCAAUGCGAAUAAUAAGAACAUUUUUCAGACUGUGCAUCACUGUGAACUCGCUAAAGAAGUUUUGGAUAUCCAAAACAACCAUGAAGGACCUCAAGGUGAGGAUGUCUAAACUUCAGAUGCUGACCACCAAGUUGAAAAUCUGAGGAUGAAAGAGGAUAAGACUAUUCAUGACUUCCAUGAAUAUUCUUGAAAUUGCCAACACUUCUGGGCUGAGAAAAAUGUGAAGAAAAACUUGUAACGAAAUUCUCAGUGCAUUUGCCAAAAGAUUUGCCAUGAAGGUCACUGCUAUAAAGAGCGCUCAAGAUAUCUGCAAUAUGAGCGUUGAUGAGCUUAUUGGUUCUGCUUCAAAAACUUUUGAAAUGGGCUGUGUGGAAUGUUGAAAAGAAGAAUAAAAGCAUGCUUUUGCUAUUCAGGAAUACUGAAGAGAUUCAGAAGAAGAAGCUCAGUGAUUGAAGCAUAUCAGAGUCCAUAGCCAUGCUUGGGAUACAGUUCACAAGUUCAUAAAGAAAUUUGAUCAAAGAAGGGUAGACCCAAAUGUCAAAACAUUUCAGUCUACCAUCAGUAAGAAGCAUCAAAAUAUGAGAAAAAGGUCACCCACAGCAGGGAAUCCAGUGCCAGGAGUUCUUGAAAGGUUUUGGUCACAUUAGGUUGAAUGCCCUACCUCCUCAAGAUGCAAAAGAAAGGGCUAUCUUCACUGCGUCUAAAGGAGAUUCUGAGAGUGCAAUCUGAAGGAGAAUCUGCUAAACAUGUCACUGCACAACUAGUGUCUGUGCUCUGAUGAUGACUAAGUGGAGAUAAACUUACCCUGAUUGAACUUCGCUUGCCUUCAUAUAAAGAGCAUGUGUCAAAAAAGUGCAGAAUGUGUAAUCCAAGAGAAAAGCAGAAAGAAACUCAUCAAGGAGAUUGAAGCUGAGAAACAGAGCAUCGACAGUCAUUAGAUGAGUUGAAAUGGUUGAGAUAUCAUUGCUGACAUCUCAAGCUAGAACAAAUGUAACAAAAUCAUCAGAAUGCUGAAUAAAAGGAACUGAACACCUUGGUAAGAGAUUCUAAAGUGUUAGCGACAGAAGCAGCGAACCAUGUCUGCGUUAGGCUUUGUUAGAAAUCCUCAGCCUAACAAAACGCUCAAAGGCUGAAGUUCAGAAACUCAGCAGAAGUCACAGUAAAUCAUGUCUCAACAUCAGGGAACCAGGAUGAGUAACCAUCAGAAAAGAUUUCAAGAUGGAGAUGUCAAUUUGGUAGAUUGUCAUAUAAAAAGCUCUGCUACAGGUGCAUGGUUCCACCCAAACCCGCAAUCAUACCUAGUAAGGCUUAAGCAUAGAUGCCCCCCACAAGAAAGCGACCAAUGGGUUCUAGGUUAGCUCACACAACUCUAAGGGCGUCUACCAGAGAAGACUGGUACUUUGAUAGUGGCUGCUCAAGACAUAUGACUGGUAUGGAGAAUUUAUUGGUGGAUAUACAACCUCACACUACCAGUUAUUUGACCUUUGGUGAUGGUGCUAAAGGAAAAAUCAAAGGUGUUGGUAAGCUGGACAGUUCUGGAGUUCCAGAACUGAAUAAUAUGCUGUUAGUAAAAGGACUAACUGCUAAUCUCAUAAGCAUAAGCCAACUGUGUGAUCAAGGUUUCAAUGUUCAGUUCACUACAGAAUUAUGUGUUGUGACAAAUGGAGAUAAUCAGGAAGUUAUGAGAGGAUCCAGAUCCAAAGAUAACUGCUAUCUAUGGGAACCUAAAGUCUCAAACUACUCCUCAAUGUGCUCCUAGGCCAAGGAAGAACAGGAGGUGAAGUUGUGGCAUAGACGUCUUGGUCAUCUUGAUUUAAGGGGAAUGAAAUAGAUCAUCUCCA
rnacentral:lncRNA from 1 species